CACAAACAGACGCUCCUGCUCGCUCGUAUCGUUCCAAUUAAAUUCAGAUAUAAUGCAGAUAAAUACUUCAGAUCAUUACAAAUGGGGCCCAGUCAAGGUGAAAGUCAAAAGCAUUGGUGCUACUGUAGAUGCCAACAGACUACCAGCAAACACAAUGUUUGCAGGACUUCUACAACGGGGAUAAAGUGACAUAGUCCAGGACCCGAGGGAGGACAGUUUAGCGGCGCUACAACAUGCUACAGCAGGUCCGUUUGACAAGAAACACUUCUGUUACAGACACUUGUCUUACUUUGUUAAAGCGGUUUACCUGUCCAGCAGAAAGGUUACAGGGUCACCAAGAUCCCCAAGCGUCCCCCAUCGUUUAUGUUGACCCGGCUUUUUAGCUCUUGUCCGGUCUACCUCCGUUUUAAGCGCCCGUUAUUCCUCCAGAGUCUCCGGUAUUUACUUUGUUUUCUUGCUUGUGUCGGCAGUCGUGGCCAAAGGAGGAUUCAGACAAUUUUCCGAACUUUCUGGUUGGUUUCUACUGUCCGAUAUUGUAGCACGCUAACUUUGUUUGGCCUUCGUGCCUCCCUGUACACCGCAAAGCAAACAGCGUAUGAUAUGGCGGUGUAGGUACCAGCUGUGUCCACAAAAAAAGAUGCUUCUUGAACGAAAUCCACCUUUAAGUCAAAGCUCUUACAGUAAAGUGGAGACUUUGUACAUGGUCCUUUAUUUAUCAAGAAUUCAGUAUAUCAAUAUCAACCAAACUAAUCAGUGUUAGUAUUUUUGCAAUGAUGGAGCAGCCCUAUUUUUAUCAGCACAUCUUGUACUCAGAGGUCGUAUUUGAUGCUCUGAGAUUGAGCUAAAUUGGAGGCUGAGUCGGGAAUAUGUCUGCAGAUAAUGUAAACUACUUCUUUCGUCUCCUGCAGCAGUGAUAUCAGUCUCUUACCAAACAAGUUUAUCUCAAUAAAGCUUCAUUAAAGCUCAUUGUAAUAUCUCUUUCUCUUUGUGCUUUAAUUAAGAUGAAACGAUGCGGCUGUUGGAUGGAGUCUGGAGAAAUGAGAGGAAACUGGCGGGAGCUGUGCAGAUCUCUCACAUGCUGCAGGGCAUCCUCUUAAAAACACAUGUUUACACUAAAUCUGUGUGCUAUUUCUGCAGCUUUAAGGGUUUUGGUUAUUUUAACUCGGGGUGGCCAUGUUGAGUGACAGGCUGGCUCUACAUUUAGAUCUGUCUGGACCUGUAUGGCUCCAGUAUGGACCCCCCCGGUCUUCUCUGCAGCUGAUCUGGUCCUCGGGCGUCUCUGUGGCUCAGACUCUGCAGUGAACACACUCAGUAUUCAGCUCAGAGUCCACAGCGGACGGCUGGGGAAGAAAUACGACUCCACUGUCACACUUGGCUGAUGUCCCUGUGCUCCUCUACUCCCUCCUUCAUCCCCACCCCCCUCUCUCCUCGGCUCGAUAUCUAACUCAUGUCCUUUACGAAUGGGCCAGUGGGGAGUGUUUCUGUAUGUGUGCGGUGCAGAUGAGAGGCCGUUUAUUGUGUGCGGGCUACCGGGAGGAGCCAGGAGGGGGAGAAAGAGAUGAAAAGGGUGCAGGAGAUGGAGGAAAACAAAGAUAGAUACUGAGGAAAUUAUAUCAAGAGAUGGGGGUGACAGAUGGAGAGAAAUUAGGACCUGCGUCGGAGUAUAACCAGUUUUCCUAUGAGCCAUGCCUCCCUUCAACAACCCACAUCCAUUGUGCUUUUCUGUGAAGGUGAAGCAGGAAAUGAAGCCUUCAGACACUGCAGCUCAAUAUAACAGACCUCUAAGUGCAUUUAUGUUAUUGAAUCACCGCUGAUGUAUCGAAAUUUCCUUUAGAAUUAACUCCAUAAACUGCAGCCUUCCAUAAACGGCUCACAUGUGAAUGGCCUACGCCUGGAAAUUCAAUUUCAGCCGGUGAAUAGAAACAGCUCUAUCUCCCUCACAGAUGCAGCACCUUUAAUUUAUUUUCUGGUAUCAUUUAGUAUCUUUUUCACUCUUUGCUUUCCAUCAUCUUCCUCUAUAUUCUUCACCGCCAUAAUGACCCAAAUUCUCCCUGAGGGAUCAACAAAGUUCACUUUAUCUGUGUUUGCUGGAGCUCCUGAGUCGAGCUGAUAAGUGCAGACAGAGACUGUGAACGUCGACAGUCAGACAGAGAAAAGGUCUGAUAUGUGGAGCAGAUUUAGGAGAAUUAGACUGCUGCAGAUACGGAUGCAUAUCUCCAAUUAUUCCAGCUUAUUGUGCAGCAGUCUCCAAAUUGUUUCAGACAGGGUGUAAAAACCUGUUUGUCUGAAUUUCAAAUUUCACAGAUUUUUGCAUUAUUGUGAAACCCGGCAGCUUCUGGGCCCUGACAGUGAAGUGAUAGGAAAUGAAAACAAUAGAAGGCAGUUUGGAAAUGUUAUUUGUUUCUGGUUCUAUUUGUUGAUAUUUGCUUGUUUUGUUAUAUUUUCUCUCCAAACAAAGUCGAUUUAUUCCAGCUCUCAGAGAUUUGCCAAGCUUUAAAGGAUUUAAAGUAAAUGUCAUUUUAAAUCAAAUAAAAAGAGAGAUAUAAUGUUAACAGAACACCUACUGGUUGCUCUUUUAGUAAAUGAAAUGUUAACAAAGUUCCCUCUGUUUACUUUUUUGUUAUAAAGAUUUAUAAAACAGUUCCCUCUUUUGCUUUGUAAUGACUAAUAUGUAAAUAAAGUUACCUCUGGCUGCUUGUUUCAAAAACUUAUAUGUAAACAAAGUGCUAACUGUUUUUUCUUGAAGUAAAUCAAAUAUAAACAAAGUAUCUUCUGGGUGCUUUUUUGGUUGUUUUAAGUAAACUAAGUGCCCUCUUUAGCAUUUUAAUGACUCAUGUGAAUUAAGAUCCCUAUGGCUGCUUAUUUUAAUAACUUAUAUGUAAACAAAGUGUCCCCUGUUUUUUUUUUUUAAUGAGUAAUAUGUAAACAAAGUGCUUACUGGUUGUUCUUUUAGGAGAUCAUAUGUAAACAAAGUGCCUUUUUUCUUUCUUUUUAAUAUCUCAUGUAAAUAAAUUUCCCUUUGGCUGAUUAUUUUUUAUAACUAAAAUGUACACACAGUGCCCUCUGGGUGCUUUUUUCAUUGACUUAAAUGUAAACUAAGUGCCCUUUGGUAUUUGGUGCAGUUCCUCCAGUGUCCACUUGGGGCCGACUUUAGAAGCCUCAGAAGUCACAUACUAGCGUUAUUAGUUUUCCGUAAGAACGUGUAGUUAUGAGUUAGAGUUUUCUACAAAUGUCAAGGGUGUUAUGAGUCCUUUAGUACGUCAUAUUUAAGAGAAGCAGUUUAUGGCCUAUGUUGUCAGUAUACAAUAAAAAGACUAAAGCUUCAACAGUUUAAUCUUCUUAAACUGUUGAGCAGAAAAGAACUGAGGUGUAAUCAGAUUUGAGAGAGGACUGAUGCAAAGAGGCAGAAAUCACAGCAUAUGGCGAGCGCGAGCGAGUGCUGAGUCACUGCUAUUGAUCACAACAGCAUCAAGCCUCCAUCUGUGAUAUACUGUGGUCAUUCUGUACAGGAGGGCAGGAAAGAAAUAUGACCUAAUGUCCCUUUAAAUAUUCUCUGAGGUGGUGGAAACAUGGAUUUAUGAGCAUUAAGCCACCAAUGAUCCCAAUCAGCCUGUUCCAGCAGCAGGUUUGAUGUAACAGCGAACGCAGGAGCCGUGUUUUUAAUCUCUCUUCUGGUCUUUAACUUCACUGCAUGACUUCAGCGAGGAGCUUCCACCGCCCGCCGUGAAGUCCUCACAGAAAUUGGAAAUGUUUAAAUCUGCCCUCACGUUUUUUUCCUCUUCGCUGAAGCAGACUGAAGUUGGAGCCUCAGCAACAAAGCAGGGCUUUCUGCCCAUUUUUUCGGCACUGGCUCUGCCUCUUUCCAUGCCUCCUUUUCUGCCUCCCUGGCCGACUCUCAGGGGCCGAUGAUAGAUUGCUCUCUCUCCGCCUUUGUGCUGGGAAAUUGCUUUGUUUUGUUAACAGUCUGCCUCUGUUCCAGCCCAGACAGCAGAGAUAGGGCGCCUCCUUUCUUCACUUAUCUGGCCGAAUAUGUUUGAGACUGCGUUGAAAAUGAAUUACAGUUGGAUACGUAAAAGAAAAGUAAACAGGGGUCAGAGAAAUGUCCCACAUGUUACAAGGGAAGGAUAAUCUGUCCUUACGUGAGCAGACUUACCAAAAUUUCAAUACAUAUAUGAAGGUGAGAAUGACGUAACGUGCAAAUCCUGCCUUCUCUAUUCCGACCCCACUUGGGGAACCUAGACCGUAGAAUCUGGAGGUGUUUUUGUUCAUAUAUUUAAAAGUAUGACUCAUAGAAGAUGAAAUAUGACCUGGAUAAGAUCGAACCACAUCACAAUUUUGUCAACAAAAAGUAAUGAUCCGCCACAGAUUUGGUCAUACCAGAUUCUUGUAAGAAUGUAAAAAAAAUGCACAUAUUUGCAGAUUCUUGGAGUUUUCUUUUAAACAUGUAGGACUAAAGCUGUUUCAUUAACGUUGUUCAUCUGUUCUUGUGCUAAUUUCCGUUUCAUUUCAAUUUUUUAUGGUGCUGGUUUCAACAGGACUCAAGUUCAGCACCAUGGAUAGCACCUGUCGGACAGCCCCUUAGAUUCUGGACACAGUGAAGUGUCUUUAUUCCCACUGUCUCACCCCCAAUUUUUACAGCAUCUGGAACGGCUCCAAUCUGGAACAGCUACGAUUUGCCAAUUCCUACUGGAUCCGUUGGUGAGGCGAUCCAUUCGUGGUGGAUUACAGACAGUGGUAAACACGAGAACUCACAAGAACCCACGGAUUGAUGUGCAAUUGCGCGAUAAUGAGUUGUCUCUAUAAAGACAGACACAUAGACAUAUAAGCAGUAGAUUGUGUCCUUCCAGAGGAGGAAAUCUACUUCUAGACUUCUAGAAUCAGCAUCUCCUCAUCCAUGGUGUCAUUGGGGUGAAAUGACGUCUAAAAACCUUUCGCUUGUUCGUCUCCGCUUGUUUGCGUGGUGUGAAAUACAAUCCACCUGUUUAUUUUGAAAAGAAGCUGUUUUAUUUUGUGUUUGUGUCCGACUUCCUCUCCAGCACAGGUUAAUCUGAGCUGAAUUUAUCCGGCAUGCUCUGGUGUCCAGAAAAAAUAGAGCUCUUGCGAUCAGCUGUGGAGUCCGGCGAUCCGCAGAGGAACGGAAAGAAGUCGGUGGAAACUGACACAUUAACUUGAGUGGUUACGAUCAGCUGCGAUCAGAGGAUACGGCCUCUUCGUACACAUUGCAGAUGCGGUAAAAAUUGGGGGUCAGACUACUGUUGUCAUUUUUAUUGUGUGUUUGAUGGAUUGAUGCGCCACUCAGAUUUUGCUAAAUGGAAGCCGUUACUUUACGAUUUUUGAUAAUUGUUUGAUGAUAAAACAACAAAUUACUGUGAAACUUUUGGGCGGGCACAGUGAGCUUAAGGCCCGCCUUGACUCCACCUCUUGACCUCAGUUGAGUCAGCUGUUCCAAUAUGGCGACCACAAACGUUUGGCUCCGAUACAGCUCUUUUCAGGUGACGUCACCGAGACUACAUCCAUGUUUCAUACGGUUUUAUCAUGAGGGGGCGGUGUAUCCAAUAUGUCAAGAUGUCAUCCUGAGGUUACUCUGUUUUUACUGUAUCCUAACAUAUCAACAGUGUGUGUGUGUGUGUGUGUGUGUGUGUGUGAGAGUCCCCAGAAUAUGUGCGUUUCUCCCUGUGUGCAUGUCCUUGAGGCUGAUGGCAGCUCUCCUGAACUUAACUGACAAAAGAGAGACAUUGUAGUGACGUGUGUGUAUAUGUGUGUGUGUGUGUGGUCUGUGCGCGCAUGUGCGUGUGUGUGUGAGUAUGUUUAACAUAUUGGCUUCCCUUGUUCUCAGUGUUUCGUGAGACUGAAGCUGCUGCUCGGAGGCCGAACUGUCAGAUCAGAUAUUCGGAGAGACCGUGAUAACAGGUGAACACACGCACACACACACACACACACACACACACCAAGGAUUGAACAGUGGGAUACUCACUGUGGAUGGAAGUUGCCAGAGGCUAUGAGAACACACACACAUACACACACACACACACACACAUGAAUUUUGUGUAUCAGUGUCUGAGUUGUGUGUCUUUCUAAAGAGAAUUUACCGAGUUUUUAACCUCCACUUUUUGUCGUGUGUUUGUGUCUAUAUGAAAAUGAAUAUUUGUGCGCCUUUGUGCGUGUGCACAGUGUCUGUUUGUGUGUGUGGUUGUUUUUCUAAAAGCAGCAGGAGUCUCAGUUUUGCCGGGGUAGACGUUGCGGUUUGAGGUGAGUGUUUAGUUGAGAUAAAACAGAUAUACCGCUCUGCUGAGUUUAGCCGGUUUAUAAAACAUGAGAUUUCAGUUAAAAGUUACCAAACAGAAACAGACAGUUAUGGAGAUGACUAAGAAAAUCAAAUAUUGAACAGAAAUGGAAGCUGGGAGUUUACGUCCUUAGUGGCGUCUGAGCCUGAUGUGCAGCACAUUAAUAUUUGGUCACCAGGUGAGUAAAACAACACAAUCAGACGGCCUCGGGGACUCUUUUCAAAGUAUAAAUGUGGUCCCAUAAAUUAAAACAGACCUGAAAUCAUUUCCCGGAUCCACGGACAGCAGCUCAGGACUGUAAACAACAAAGAAGUCGAUGAAUUAGUUUCACUGCAGGAAGUCUAAGAACGCUUUAACCAGAGUCCACUGAGAUGUAUUAGAGGCAGAUUAUAAAACCAUCACAGGACGUACGUUUAUGUCACACAAUCUUCAGAAAAACAGCAGAAAAAGUCUGAAUUUUAAUACAUUAUAAGUCUCUUUGUAGUCAGCUAUAAUGUAGUAAGUUAUCUCAAUACAAUCUCAAUUAUUCACCCAGAUUUAUGCACCAACUGUGAGAUUUAAAUCAGCUUUGAAUAGUUGCAGGAUAAAGCAAAGAAACAACAGAGACAUAAAGUCGACCCAGGCGGAGAUUAAAGAGGAAUAAUGAACAAAUAAUGUGCCGUAAAUUAAAGCAGCGUUUGCCUGGAAAAAAUAUCGUUAAUGUUAUUUCAACAAAGACUGCAAACAAGACGUGGAGGUAUGGAUUCAAACGCUCCCUAAUCGAGCCAGCAGGAGGAAACAUCACUAUUCUGUCUUCACUGGUGGACUGAACUAGUUUUACAGAAAGCUAACAGUUGUUCCAGUAAACACCAGGAAGCUUCUCGCUCUUUUGAUGUUUAUUGGAACUUUAUUCUUGUUUUUUUGUUGUUGUUGUUUAAAGUGAUUUUCUGGCGUAAAAUAAUUUUUAGGGUCAAACACACCGGAACAGAGUUAGACAACUCCUCUGGAGGUGAAUGUUGCCGACCGCUUGCUUCUCUAGUUAUACCAACUUUAGUAACGACCGCAGAUAGCAAUACAGAGAGCCACGCCCACACUCUAUAGCCUCAAAUAAUACUCAGAACAGCACCUAACUUCAUCAACAGGACAUACAGGGUCACAGACAUAGUACUAGACACCAAACAUCUAUUUAGCUUUAGUAAGAGACUAAACACAACUCACCUACUCUCUUCCAGCAGCCGCUUGUUUGUAGUGAGACCUUGGGCCAAUCCAUUACGGACUACAGCGGGGUGACACAGCUCAAGGAAGAACAUUUAUGAUCAUUUCUUCAUGGAAAUACAAUCAGACCGAGACGCUAAGGCAGAAGAACUACCGCGUCCGCAGUGCAAAAUGAUAAAUAUGAUGAUUAUUACUUCAAGGAAAGUAAUGCCUUGUCCGAAUAUAAGGCAAGCGUUAAAAUAACUUUCGUAGACGUAACCAUCUUGUUUCAGGCCUCUGAUUUUGCUUUUUUCCGACUUGGUAACAGAAACGCUGGGAAUUCGGGUGUGACGUCAUUUUCAGCUCCGACAUCUCACUUUUGAGCAGUGGCGAUUGCUCUAAGACUGCAAGGGAAGCUCGGCUUCCCUUAAAAUGUCACCCCCCAAAAAAAGAAAAAGUGGUGAAAUACGUACGGCUGUGUGUACAUUUCAUUAACUAAAUACGCACUAGAAAGCCUUCAACUUUUGUUCAGACACUGUGAUAAGAAGCUGAUAAUCACAGGUAACCGGCAUAACUUCGUUCUCAUUCAUCCUCGCAGCGCCUCAGCGCUUCAAACAGCCGGACGCUGGGCUUCUGCUGACUUCAAUGUGGAAGCUUAAAGUGGGUUGUUCCAGCAGCGAAACUCAUUGGAUAAAUGCUGGGCUUUGUCCCGCCCAAUGGAAGCCCAGCUUCACUGGAGUUCUAUGGUGAGAGGGCGGUCCCGACUUUCUCCCGGACUCCGAGCUUCUGCAUCCAUGAUUGGAUGAGCUGUCUGAGGCGAAAUCCUUUUUUGAUUGACAGCUAAACAAGCGAAUCAGCGAUCUUGAAGAAUAAAACAUCUACCAGAGCAUUUUCCAAGUUAUUCAUUCCGUUGUUCUUAACUGCUCCGGAGACUUUACCGAUCCUCAGCGACUUUUGUCUUUGUUAAAAACGACUGCCGUUGUGUUUGGCGACUCUGUUCUGUUACAUACUAAUAAACAAAUACAAUUAUGAUGUAGGCCAGAAAAAUGAGCUUCCCCUCCUUGAAAGACCAGCAGCCGCCACUGCUUUUGAGGUAACUCUAACGCAGCAUUAGGCACGAAGGACUGAUGGAUUGGUCUGGAAUCGGUUAUCGCCAAGUUUAUUAUCAUGAAAAAAAAAAUACAGAUUAGUGAAAGGGGAAAAAAUAAGCGUGAGAAAUGUCAAGUUUGGCGUGUGGUGUGAGAACGGGUCAAAUUGCGUGACUGUCACACUCAAAGCAUGACGAUUGGCAGCUCUGGGUUUAUGGUGUCGGUCCUUCAUCUCAGACAAACUCUACAAACCGUAGACCAGUUCAGAGGGAACUUCGGGACAAAGCAUGUUGCAGAAUCUGAGCGUAUCAUGCUUUACUCCAUUUCAGUCCAGCAGCAAAAAGAACUUCAGAGGACGAUUCGUUAUAACUGAGUUACAGUGAACCAAAAUACUGCAACCAUGAGGAGUCAGAGGUAAAACUUUCCCACCAAUACCCACAAAUUCUAGAGGAGGAAAUGAAUGAUCGCUGGACAGGCACUGAAGAAACACAAAAAUAUCCUGAGAUUCAAAAUAAAAUAUUUAUGCAACAGAAACCAAAAAACCAACUGAAGGUGAUGACCUCCUGAGGAGUAAAAAUCCAACCGAACAGGAGAGCUCGGCCUCUUCAUACAUCCUCACAGCCUCAACUGAGAGAGGCCACAGGUGCUGAGUCUGGAUCUCUGUUCAGAACAUGAACCACAGAGACAUCCUGGUUUCUCAUACCUGCCUGUGUGAGACACCGGAGAGCAAAUAAAGAUGUACACUCUCCUGACGCUGGAGUGAAACCUGCUGCUGGGUUGAUGUCUGUGUGUAGACAUGUGUUUUGGUCAUGGCCUCCUAACACCAGGAUGAGAAACUCGGCCUCUAAUCCGUUCUUCCAUGAGGUGUAUACUCCGUCUUUUUCACAAAUCACUAAGGUGCCACUCAAAGUGUAAACUCCAAACACACACCGACUUCAGGUCGGCCCCACUCAGGGCGCCAGUCACUCAGUAUGAGCUGAAUUCUCACAUCAACCUAUAUUUUUUUCUCCCAGUCACUGAUCUGACCAUCAUCCCCUCACCUCCACUCACCUGAGCAUCAAUCUACCCAUCAUCCAACACUGUCAGCCAAAAGGUGACUGUGUCAGAGAAGAGGAGCUGGAGAUGAAGUCAGACUGAAACUGGACGUUUUAAUCAGACUGGAAUCGCCCCAAAUAAAAACUUUUUUUUCUCUCGUAUAUUUUUCUAUUGGAUUGAAACUGGCGUGUUCUGCACAUGUCAGGGAGUUGUCACACCAGGCUGUAGCUCAGAUGUUGAACAAUGUAGAAUAGUGUUGGCCAGUAUGAUGGUAUGUGACGGUAUAAAAGUGUCUACCUGUAGAAAUUUUGCUCUACCGUUUAUACCGGAGAGAGAGAGAGCAGAUGUCUGCUGCGUCUCUCUGAGUCAGUGUGGAGAUGUCUGUGCUCGCUAACAGGGAAGCCGGAGCGCAUGAGUUUGGGUGCGUUUCCGUAUAUUCACCAGCGUAUCGUGCGAAGUUUGUUCGCUCCAUUUGAUUGGUCAGGUUUGGGUGCGCUCCCUAUGAUCACCAGCGUGUCCAGCAGACUGCUUGGCAUAGUUUCAACGAAGAAGAAACAGCUUCACUGGUGGUGGUCAUGGCGGACAAGGAGAUUGGAGAAAAUUGGAGGCAGCCCGACUCACCCGACACGAGGAAGAGGAGGAGGAACUUGUUCCGAAAAAUGGCGCGAGUCACGACAUCGGUUGUCUGGAGAUUCUUCUGAUUUAGAAAAUCUGACAAUGAUCAAAAAUCAAUAUUAUGCAUAGAGUGUCGUGUGGCUGUCGUUGUUGGAGGAGGAAACACCAACAGCCUCUUCCACCACCUAAAGAUAAAACACGCCAAACUCUAUUAUGAGAGCUAAAGAUGCGUGACGCACCUGCUGCACCAGAAACUAAAACUGCAGCAGCUCCUCUCAGACUAAAGAGCUUGGCCGAGUCUUUCACCAAAGGUACAACAUACGAUAAAAAAAUCACCAGACUGGUCUGAUAUUUUGUUUGCAUUUGUUUACAAAUCUGAGUUUAAAAAUAAAAGAAAAAUUAACAAAUGAGACAGUUUGAUUAUUUUCAAGACAUUAACUGAAUUUACAGAGAAAAAACAUACCGUGACUGAAACCUCUGCGUCUCCUGGUCGCACUGACGUAAAGGAUUCAGCUCAUUUCUUCAACAACAACAACAACAAAAAGCCUUAAAAGUGCUUUUCUUUUAUUCAGUUUAUGGUACUUACUGAUCAAAUUCCUUCAGUCCGCUCUUUCGUUGAUCAAGUGUAACUUAGAAAUAUGUUUGGUAUCAAAGCCAUGGUGCGGCAGAUAUCAGGGAGGCUGAAUGCUCUCUUCACAGACUGAUGUUUUCUAAAUUGCUCCAUCAGAUGGCCGAGGGUCGGGCCGAAGGCGAUGGGUCCGAAUAAAAAGCCAAGUCAUGACUAGGAAAAUGAAAAUAGUCUCGCUCCAUAAUAUAGAGGUUGAAGAUAAAUCCAUCUCCUGCAGAACCUUGAGUCUCUUACCUGUAUUAUGAGGACAGAGACCUUUGGCAAAGAUGCUUUUAGUGUCUGUGGCUGCAGCCUGCCUCCUGACCGCAGGGUUUUACUUUAUUUUUCUUUACGUCUUUCAUCUGAUCGGGGGCAUUACAAAUACCAGAGCGAGAAAUGAUCCAGAGGAAGAGAUAUAGUUGUUUGUCCUGCAGGUAAAAGCAUCAUAAACGGCUGAAAUGAAUGUAAAUAGUUAGUUAAUAAAGAUUUCAGACCAAAGUGAAAUGCAAAAGCUUUUAGUGUUAGAAAACUUCCUUGAAAAUAUAUAUUUUUUUCUUAAUAAUUGUUCAUUUUACUGUAAUUCAGCCUUAAAUGCUUUGUGUCAUAAAAAAGUGAAACCUUUGAACCAAACAGCCAUUCAUCCAUACAUCCACUUAUGCACAUCUAUUCAUCCGUUCAUGCAUUCAGCCAGCAUGCAUGCAUUUCCUCAGGUCACUUCACCCUUUAACGUUCAUGGAUGUGGAAUAAAACUGAAGACGUUUCAGUCUAGACGGUCUCAUCUCUGCUGCUCUGAUAGCUCAAGUGUUGAAACCUCUGCUGGAAUAAUCACACGCGACAUGCACAGACUGCCAAACUGGAUACAAGGGGCUUAAUUGAUGAUGCUCUUGAAAAGAUUAUCUUCAGUUUGUUAAUUUGGAUCAGAGAGGCGGCUGUGGUCAUGACAGUAACUGUGAGGAGAUCUGAGAACAGAAGAGGAUUCGGCAUCUGAGCUGAUUCUGAAAAACAAUCCAGAUGAUUUUUUACGCACUUCUGGUUCUAGUUUGCUCGUCACUCCCACGAUGUCCUAAACAUUCCUGCAUGACUUAUCCAAACUUCCCCUCUCUGAACUGCGCCCCCUGGUGGUGGUCAGGAGAGUCGCAGUGAGCUCAGAUGUCCCCUCUCAUCUACCAUCAUUCUCUUUGUGACAGUCAGCCUCAACUUCUCCAAAAACACCAGAGGGUUGAUCAGUUUCUUUCUGUGCAGGGUUUUCAUGCUCUCGCUCAGAUAAUACCAAUGUGAACUGAGCUGAUACCUCUGCUGUUAGUGUAUGAAUGUGUGUUUACUUGUAGCUCCAGUUGACCUCACUCUCAUGCUUUCCACCAUUUAUUUUAUGAACUGUCUUUUGAAUGUCGAUAGAUGUGCCUGUCCUGAUUAUUGAUUAAAGCGACUGUUUAACGUACAGCUGCAAUAUUAAAGGUGAGGUAGGAAGGAAUCCGUUAAAGAAGCAUCUUUUUUUGUUGUGUAUUUACAAAAAAAAACUUUUAAUAUCAGUCAAUAAUUAUUAGUUAUUGAUGACAUUUGGUAAUAUAACAAUAUCUCUGUGUUCUCUUAUGUCUGUUUAGUCAACGUUUUAAAUUUUUUGAGCGGUCCGCUCUUUCUGACUGUAAACAAAGCCGUUCUCCACCUCCUCUAACCUGAUUGGUUGUGAGGCAGACGCUGCUCCCCCGUGUCGUUCACGAGUCCAAACAAAGUUAGCGUGCUACAAUAUCGGACAGUAGAAACCAACCAGAAAGUUCAGAAAAUUGUCUAAAUACCGGAGACUCUGGAGGAAAAACGGGCGCUUAAAAUGUGUCGCUUAUAUCUGGUAAAGGAGUAAUCCACCUCCACAGUGGCUGCCAUCUUGCACCGCCAUGUUUCUGCAGCAGUAUUAGACAGAGAAAUAAGAAACAUGGCUGCAUUAAAAGCAUGGAAGAUAAAGACGCUGCAAAACAUGUUCCUUUUCCCUUUGGAUAUUAUAAAAUGACAAUUAUGGCGUCAAAAUGAAUCCAUCUACACGAGUUUAAAGGCCGGAGAUUUCCUGCUCAGAUCUAUAUGUUUGAGCAUUUAAUCCCUUUAAAUAAACAUAACACUACGUUACAGUGCCCAUAUGUUUGUCCUGUGAGACGAUGAUAAUCUCUGAGAUGGUUUACAGUGUUGUGAUUCGCAUUUGUGCAAACUGUACGGCUUCCUGUGUUGGCUUUGCGUUAUCCGUCAUGUGUAUCUGUGUGAGCCUGAAACCCCCUCAACCGUCUACCUGUGCUUACAUGCAUGAAAAGCAGACGCUGCAGAGGGAUGACCUCCACGGCCAUCUGUGAGUCUGUGGCAGCCUGCCACUGUGCAAACACUCAGCCAUUCAUACAUCUGUUUAUUCAUAAAUGCAGAUUAUUGUAAAGGUAUUCCUCAUUCAGUCUUAGUCUGUGUGCAGACGACUGCGUGUUUCCCUCUCUGUGUGUUAGCAGGUCAAUGCAAGAGAGAAAUAAAGGCAUCUGUAUCCAAGCUAACCCUUUUACCGUGCAUAUGUGUGUGUGUUUUUUUGUGUGUGUGUGUGUGCUCAGUUUAUAUCUAAGAAACCGCACUCCUCCAGUUUCCUUUCAUCACUGCUGGAUUUCUCUGUAUUCUAGUUAUUUUGUGCCUCAAACUCCAGGAGCUCACGGAGCUAAAUCCAGGAUGACAUUUGAUACCCGGUUUAACAGAAGAAGAAAAAAACAGAGCAAGCAUCUGUGCAUCUUUAGAAACAGAACAACUCAUGUAUUUCUCAACUGAAACCCAGACUGUAGACUCCUACAAGAGGAGAUCUCUGCAAACAGGGAGGAAAUCAAACAGGCAAAUGCAUGCGUAUACAUCUAUCAGCCGUUACGUAUUCCCCCGUCCCCUCUUCCCCGCACUGUUGUGUGAUACAUGCAGCACUUCAUCAGAUCAAAAUGCCCCCACAAGCAGCAGAAAUGAGAAUGUAUUUCCAGUGUUGCCGUGGGCAUAACCUCAAGGUUCCCCAGAACUCAAUCAGCUCAAUGGAACAAGCUCAGUGAGUGGCGUUUGCUUUUAUCAGCGCAGACAGCACAGUUUAUAAGACGUGAAAUAUAUGAAGUCAUCAGCCGGCUGUGUACUGAGAGGCUCUUUACGCUCCCAGAAGCUGACACAUUAUAAUUAUCAUUGCACCCAGUGGUUUAAUAAGACUAAUAUCAAACACAGGUCUGAUGGGAAUAAUCUCAGAGUCAUCUGUGUUUAAGAAUCAGAUUUUUUUUAAGUGUCAGAGGUGAAGCUGCUGCUUUUAACCUUCGUUAAGUUCAAAUUUAAACAAAAGCAUCAUUCGUAUCAGACAAACUGUCGUGUUACACACCCUUCGAUAAUACUAUUGGCUUUAACUUAAAGGGAUAUUCCGUCGUAAAAUUAAUUUAGGGUCAAACACACCGUAACACUGAGUUAGACACCCCCUCCAGAGAUGAAUGUUGCCGAACGUUAGUAAUGACCACGACCGUAGAGUGGCGUUUUGGUUGAGGUUUGUUUUUGGCUUCUCAGACCUCUGUGUAUUGCUAUACUGCGGUCGUUACUAAAGUUGGUAUAACUAGAGAAGCAAGCAGUCGGCAACAUUCAUCGGUCAACAGGGUGUCUAACUCGGUGUUAGGAUGUGUUUGACCGUGAAUUAAUUUUACACCGAAUAUCCCUUUAAUAGUGAGUUGUAUAAGUGAUAUAAAAGACAGAUGCGUUGAUUUGAAAUUAUCCGGGUUAUGUUGGUGAUAGCAUUUAAGCCAUGUGUAGCUAGAGGAGCGGCACUUUGUGAUGCCAAGGAUAGAUGGUCUAAAUUCAGUCUGGUCCAUGUAGGCCACAACCGCAGAGUCUGUCAAAGGCUGCAGUCCCUUCACAGGAAUACUGCUGGUACUAAACAUAAAAGGUGCCCAUCAAGUCGGCAGUCGUGUUGGCUUGAAAACUUUCCCAUCAGCUUCAUCAGUCCAAGUGUCGUGACCAAGGACACCUCUGCAUAUGGAUCAAACCAUCGAGAGACAGACUACCACUGAGCCACAGCUGCCCGACUUUGAAAACUUUUAAAUUUGAUUUAAAUGGAAAAAUUACUAUUUAUUCAUCUUUGUGCCAAACCUUUUUAUGGUAGACUGCAAAAUCAAACUUGAGCAAAAACGAAAACGGUUAAGUGUCCUCUGGAAGACAGAAUGAUAGGAGGUCUAACGUCUCUCUCUCUCUCUCUCUCUCUCUCUCCAAAAUACAUAAACACAACAUGUCCUAAGUAUGUGAUUGAUACUACCACUAAACAAAGCCCCUACUUUUCUGUUGUCUGAAACUUGAUCACACUGCCCUCUAGUGUUAUAAAAAAUGAAGCCAGUGCACAAGUACAAACAAAUGCAGUACCCGUCAUGUCCACUUGGGACUGGCUCCAAAUAGCCAAGGCCACUCCCCCGAGGUGAUAUGCGAAGCUGAAUGCGGCCUGGUUCAAAAUGUUUUUGUCUAUGCGGCUCGUUCAUCUAAGCUGAUCCAAGGUUUCGUUUGGUCAGUAUUUCCACAAAGAAAUCUAAAAUCUAUGGAGUUUAUGGAGUUGUUGUUGUUGUUGUACACCGAAGCAGCUUCUCUGGGGUGGCAUUAAUUUUUUAAGUCUAGUGUCCUGAAAAGAGGCCACUCUCAUCAUUCCAUCACGGGUUAAAGGUAAUCAUUUACACCGACUCUGCAUUGAUUUUAAGAGACCUUUUCAUUCAAACCCUGCGAGUAAAUAUCCCCGCCACCAGAUCGGCUAACCUGUGCUUGACCCGUACAUCGAGCGCAGCAAAGAGGUUAAGCAUUCAAGUUUCCUUUUAUUUGUCACCAAUCUGUCUGAGCCCACGCUGUGUGUUUGUCAUCCUCUGCUUAUGUGCGUGAAAGAGGGACCGACGGCAAUCAUCCGGGAUGAGAGCGACACAAAGAAAAGGAGAAUGAAUAGUGUGUUUGUGUCUGAGUGUGUGUAAGAGAGAACGAGGGAGUCAGAAAGCGAGUGAGCGCAUGAGACGGAGUAUCAGAGUGACAAUAGCAUUUGACAGUUUAGCCCCAUGGUGUUUGAAUAUAAUGGCCUCUGUGUCGCUGGCUGCUGGCUCACUAUCUCACCUUUUGCUCUCAUACAUACCAAAUGGGCAGCUAUUCUUAUUCAUGCCCUGUGCAAACUGAGUGAGUCAAGGGCAAACAUGCUUAUGCAGGGAGGAGGAGGAGGAGGAGGAGGAGGAAAAGAAUUAAUCUAAAAAAGCAAGAAGAGUCUGGUUACAGCUGAGUGCAUUUAAUGAGUAUUUACGCCACCUAAUGAAAUGCAGAGUGUGAAAUGAAUGCAGGGGAAGGUGUUUGGGGAAUUCUGCUAGCAUAAACACGCAGCUGGUUUGUCGUUAAAGCCGGAGUGACUGUGCAACUCUGAAGAUGGGGAGACCAGCCAAACGUGGGGUUCCCUGUGUUGAAUUUCAGAGAGGAGAUUUCAGGAUUUUUAAAAAUCUUUUCAAAAGGGAUGAAACUAAGAGAAGAAAUAUGAUUUUGAUGAAAUCCAACCUGAAUCACCUCCAUGAAAUAUGGAAGAAGGGCAGUGGAGGGUUACCUUGCAGAUAGAUGAUUUGUGUCUUAAUGAAGAUUAUCUUCUCUGCUCUACUCCCAGGUGGCGUUCCUCAAGGCUCAAUCUUGGGUCCUCUUCUUUUUUAAUAUUUACAUCAUCCUAUGCAGACAGUUUAACUUAAAUCUCCUUUAUAAAUUAUAGAACAAGGGCAGUGGAGGGUUACCCUGCAGGCAGAUAAUUUGGUUCCCAGCAAAGGAUUAUCUUUUCUGGUGACGUUCCUCAAGGCUCGAUCUUAGUCCCUCUUUUUUUAUAAUUGCAUGAUCCUGCAUGUGUAACCUGACCCUAAAAAUAACAUCGAAUCAAUUUAUUAAAGUCCUGGAGAAAAUAAAUUACAACAUUUAGGUAUACAGCUCUGUGUUUCCACUACAUGCUACCCCAACUCCAUCUUUGACAAACAGCUCACUCAGUCUUUACACCUGAAUCCGUUGGACUCAUAAGAGUAUACAUUUUUAACUGAGCAUGUCUUGUCAGUCAGAAAUUAUUGGCAGAAAGUUUCCCGAUCCUGAAUUUUUGUUGCUUUUGAACACCUACAACACAAAGACUACUUCACCUCACACAGCAUUACUUCAUACUCUCUGGAACAAGAGUUUUGAACAAGUCCAACUCUCAUGAAAACCCAUCUUCUUGGUGUUUGAAGCAUGGUUGGCUGACAGCUGCACGACAGCUGGCUGACAUGCAGGUAUCUGUAAUGGGCCAAACAGCGGCUGCUGCGAUGUUUCAUACUUCAGCAGACCAUUAAGUGGGCCGAAGAUUGUCUUUCUCAGCUGUCUUUCUCCUCACUUUUCUCUCUAUAAACCAAGAAACUUUGGGAAUUUUGUUCUGCUACAAGAAACUCUACGACAUCUAAACUCAAAAAGUGACAAGCUGUGGGUUUAUUUUGGUCUUUAGUUUCCUUUUAUUUGCUGUUUCUGCUUUUGUUACCGAUCCCGUUGUUGCUUGAAUGACACAAAGCGCAGUUUUUUUCCGUCCUCUUUAAAACUAAGGUGGUAGAGCUUUGUUAUACUCAUUAUUUGAUACAAAGUUCCUGUUUUGCAUAAAUACUUUUAUGCCUAAUAAAGUUAUAUUUUCUUCAGACUGCAAAGUGUUUAAUUUUCCAUCCUGUCUCAGAAGCUGCACCACACUGACAUGAAUUAUUCCUCAGAGGGAAUGAUCAUUCAUCAUGAGCAUCUUAUUCCGGCUGAGAGAAGGCUGUAAUAUGAAACAUCUGGAUAUGCAAAUUGCUAACUACAGUUUUGACAUUAAGUGAGGUAGCAGUGCGUACAGAACAAGCCAUCCUGCUUCUCUGAACUGUGUUUCUCACACUUAUCGGCUGUUGUGCCUGUUAAAUAACAUCCAUAGUUCAGGCUGGGUGUAUCAGGGUGACAAAUCUUCAUAAUGUGGCAAACACAGACAUGCAUACUCAUUAAACAUGCAUGUGUUGAAUGCAGACUCUCGCACUUCUUGUGCUGCUCUUGCAAAAAACAAAACAAGACCAACCAAAAACAAACAGGAUCAACAUUGUCCAAGACAUGUACAGGUAAUCGUGUGUAUUGUUGUACUUUUGUAGGUCUUAUGUUGUUUUUUUUAAACUCUCAUUCAGUGUUUCACACCUAGAGUGACUUAACCUCACAGUCAUCUAAUUUAAACAAACCUUUCGUUACCUUAUAAACUUUAACUCAACUACACCAACACAAACUUAAAAACUAAACCGAACUUAUAUAACCCAACCUAACCUUUGACACAACUAAACCUCACGCAACCCAACCCAGCCUAAACAAACUUACCCCAACCUAUCCAUACUUAACUUAACCUAACCCAACCUUGUAUGAAUUAACCUAGUCUUAUACUCAACCAAACCUAACCCAAUCAUACCUAAACUAACAUUACCAAAUCCAACCAAGCCAAACCAAACUUAACCCGACCUUGCCUACCUUUUUUAAGCAAACCUGAUCUUAAGAUCAACCUUAACUAACCCAUACCAACCAAACCUGACCUUGUGCAUCCUGACUCCUGCAGCCCAACCCCAAACAAAACUAACCAAACCUCAACUAACUCAACACUACGUAACUUAACCUUAAACAAACAUAAACCUAACCUUAGCUAAGUAAUCUUAACCAAACCUAACCUUAUACUCUAACAAACCCAACCUAAACUAACCAAGCAUGACUCAACCUUACGUAACCCAUCUCAACCUGACUCAACCUUACUUUCCCUAACCUAACCUAACCUUUGAUAACCCAUCUUACCCAACCCAACCUUACAUACCUCAACUAACAAAACCCCGCCUAAACCAACCGAAAAUAACAACACCACAUCCAACAGUCCUAAACUGAAUCCAAACCAAUCUGACCUUAUCAUAUUUAAACCAACCUUAAACUUACACUCAUAUAGCCAAACCCAACCAAACCAAUCCUAACCUUGUUUAACCAAACCUGGCUUGACCUUGCCUAACCUUACUCAACCCAAUACACUAUCCUAGCCUAAACUGUACUUGGAUAACCCAACCUAACUAAACCCAACCCAAUCUGACCUCACCGUACCUCACCUUACCUCACUUUACCUAACCUAACCCAACCUAAUCUAAACUUAAAAUCAACCAAAUCUAACUUAACCCCCAAACCAAACUAAAAUAUCCAAACCUAACCCAACCUACCUAUCUAAUCCAACACAAUCUCACCUUGUCUAACAUAAACUGACCUAAUCUAACCUUACCUUAAUUAAGAUUAGCUCACUUAAAAUUACCUCACCUUGUCUAACGUAAACUGACCUAACCCUACCUGUCUCACCUCUAAGUUUUACAGGUAUUUUAGCUUCCUGUUGAACAUGAGGUUCCUUCAAAAGAAGACGUUUAGCUCAUGUGACCUUCAGCAAGAUCGUUGAUUUAACUUUGUUUUGACGGUGUUUCCCAGUGGUCGGGCAUCAAACUGCAGGAAAUCUGCAUUGACACUUUACCUUUGGAAAGGUGGAACAAAGCCUCUCAGUCAAUCUCAUCUGUGCUAAACAACCAUAUAAAAGCUGAUUGAUGGGCUCUGGUGAUUGCACCAUCAUUGGCUGCUGUCAUUGUUUCCCUUUUUUCCCCUCGGCUCGUCUGUUUCAGUCAGUUAAAGUCAGACUGUGUAUGAGACGAUGGGAGGAAGUGUCUGCAGGGUUCCACUCAUGACUGACAGCUGGUAGUUGCUGCUGUACAAAGAGUGGGCAGCCAGCUAGACGCACACACAGUCUGGGAUGUAACAGAUGAGCUGGUGUGUGUGUGUUUGUGUGUGUAAGGAUGAAUAGUUUUACUGUUUGCAAUCCCUGGACAGACAAUCCUGUAAGAGUAAAAUGCCCUCUUGGAUCAACCAGUUCUAGUACGUUCUGUGAAAUUGUUUCUGUUCCCUCUGAUACACAACCGAGGCUUCAGCCUUUACCUUCAACUUCCUUCUCUCCUCCCUGGUGCUGUCUGUUUAUGCUCUGGGUUAUUUCAUGCUAUACAAACCCUGUAAGCUGAUCUGUACAUGGAAGACGUUUCUCAGGAGAAGGAGAGAGACAAGUGGGAAAGUUUUUUCUUUCUUUUGAUAUGGUGUGUGAAGGUUGAUAGCUGAAAGGUGAUGCUAGAGGAUAAAGACUGUAAAACAUAGAAAGGGUGGCUGAACUGAGUAAAAGCUUUAGCAUCUGUGGGUUUCUAAAGAGGCAAGUUGAGAAGUGGAGCUCAGGUAGGCUUUUAUACUUCUGAAAACAGACACAGCUUAUCCAUCAGUCCACUCUGCCAUGUCCCUAACUAUACAUAUUCAUGUUUCACUAAUGUUCUGUAUUAUACUUAUGAAGGGAUUAAAUUAUUGGAUUUCCCAGAAAAAUCUUCAAAUCUUUAAUAUAUUACUGUUCAUGAAUUGGGGAACUAACCUGACAUUACCAGACCAACAGACCUCAGUGAGUAAAAGAGACUCUGGAAGUGACCGCACAGGUUAACGCUGAACUGGAGCAACAAGCAGAGAGAAGCAACAACAACAACAACAACAACAACAACAACAACCUGGUCAUUUAGGAGUCUUUCUGCCUUAAGGACCAUCCAUCCAUCCAUCCAUCCAUCCAUCUUUGAACCAUCCACACAUCUCUCAUCCAUCAAACCCUUCAUCCAUCCAUCCAACCAACCAUCUUUUAUUCAUCCACCAAUCUCCCAUCCAUCAUCCAUUUAUAUAACAUCCAUCCAUCCACCAAUCCAUCCAUCCACCAACCUUUCAUUCAUCCAUCCAUUCAACCAACCAUCCAUCCAUCUCAUCUUUGACCUAUUUGCAGAUCUCUCAUCCAUCAAACCCUUCAUUCAUCCAUCCAUCAUCCAUUCAUAUAUCUUCCAUCCAUCUCCACCCGUCUUUCCAUUCAUCCAUCUGCCUUACAUACCAUCAGUUCAUCCAUCCACCCACGCAUCCAUCCAUCCAUCUUUCAUCCCAUGUUUGAACCAUUUGCAAGUCUCUCAUCCAUCAAACCCUUCAUGCAUCCAUCUUCCAUCAAUCAUCCAUUCUUAUAUCUUCCAAACAACAUGUUGAUUAGGAGGAAAGACAGCGGUACCACCAAUGACAAACGAAGAAAACAUACAGUUUUGUUCGCCCAGCAGGAUAAGGCCCCGUCUGCCAGAUGGACUCUACAGCCCCCCACUGUGCAGAAUCUGAGCCCAGCUGGUUAUUAUCAUCUUAUCAAACCAGUUUCAUCCUGCAGCAUCCACAACAGCAACAAGGUGUUUUCAGUGUAAAGAGCCGCCCCUCUUGUAUUUUCAAGAUUUUCCACCGUUUCAACUCCAAUUAGGAUGUUUGAUCAACACAGCAUGGACGACACUUUUCAAGUGGAAAUUAUCCAUGUCAUAUUGCACCCCAGCUCUAUUUAUGGAAAAGAUGCGUUGUCUGAUAUUUGUAGCUGUUAUGAUUUCAUGGAAACGAACUGCAGGAAACUACAAUUUCUACAACAGCAACAGCUCAAAAUGCUGGUUAAAUAAAAAUGAAAUAUACAAAAAUGUGAGAGCAUUAGUGAGAAUUUCUGAGACUCAGAUUUAUACUUUCUAACUCAACUUUAACUCCAAAAGAGGUUUGCACACACACACUCACACUAAGCUGAACUGCACUUGAGCUGCCCUCCACUGCAGCUCCAACAUUUAAGCAGCAGCUCGGCAAAACACUUCUCAUUUCACAGGCCACUUCAGCUGAGUGCAUUAGCCAAUCAGACCCUUUUAUAGAAUAUGUUUGCCCUUGCACAUGACCAGAUACCUAGGGUGCUCCAGCUUCACCCCAAAUCAUCUUACAACCAACAGCUGGAGGCAUGGAUUCAGAGGGGAAUGGACAUAGUUACGAUUGAGAAACAAAUGCAUAUUUAAUACAGAAUAGGUAAUCGAAAAAAAAACAACAACCUUUAAAAGAGACAGAAAAGCCACAGUCAAUCCCAAGUUUGACAACAACAACUAAAUUAAAGCGACAAAGAGGGAUCAGUUUGAGCUGAAAACAGAGAGUCCACUCAAACAGCAGAGAACAAAAGAGGAGAAAAGUCACCGAUGAAGGGUCUGAAUUAAAUCAAUCGGUGAAUCAAUUCAGAGUCAAGAAUGAGCCCGCAGAAAGAAGAAACAAACCGGCACCAGUUAAGGUGGGAAUCUGAAAAUAAAGGACAUUAGGUUUUAAAGACAAGCAGGCCGUUAUGAAGAGAGACGGCGUGUCAAAAAGGAAAGAACAAACUCUCAAGUCAGAGUGGAGGACAAUAAAGAAAAAUAGAGAGAGCAGAAAUGGAAAUGGAGGGGAUGCAAUCGGCCGACUUCAUCAGAAUAUAAAAUGUGUCGUGGUCGACAAAGAGAGAGAAAGAGAGGUAGAGUGAGAGAGAGAGAGAGAGAGCGAGAGAGAGGUUCAGAAACACAGUGUCAGAGGUCGUGGAGGUGACUCCACUGUCGCCUUCGAUUACAGCCCAGAGCCGAGCUGUUAGCUGGACUCAUAUGCUGCGCUGACUAAACCAUUACUACCACCAUUAAUCACAGCCUCACGUCCAUUUAGAUCACGGGCCGCAUUGAACAGCAGAGGAAGGGACAAACACAGACUUUCAAAGUAAGAGUCUAAUGUUGAUUCUUUUUUAGGAUGUGGUGAGUUUACAUGUUUCUGAUUCUAUAGAGAAACACUUAAACACACCACGGUGAGUCCUAACUUCACCCCUCAGGAAAUGAAGGUAUGAUCAGUUUGGAGGAUUCAGGGUUUAAACAAGCAAGUGUCAUCAACUUUAGUGAUAUAAAAGUGAAUAACAGUGUAAGAACAACUUGGACUGAAACCUAAAUCCUGACCAGAAUCAGAGGACACCAAAAUCAUGAUGAGCCGACGUGUUAAGCAGCAAUAAUAAAUAUGUAUUAUUAUAAAGUUUUUACCACUAAAUUUGUCAAACAAUGCAAGUCCUUUAUGCACAACUCAAAAACGAGUCUUCAUCGUCUUCUAACAGGAACAUUUCGCAUGUCUUCUCACUGAAUACAGGACAGGAUUUUAACAUUUCUCAAAGUGCUUCGGAGACCAGACCAACCCCCCAGUUUUGUAAAUAUUACCCACCCAGGCUGAAUGUGUGAUAAUAUGACUUAAAACCUCUUAUCUGCUGCUGACAAACUGUACCUGUGUGCCGUGUAGUUUUAGGCGGGUACUUCAGGAUGAACUCUGCAGUCGGUGUUGUUGUUUGAUACCUAGCCAGAGGUAGUAUUAGCUACCUGUGUAAUCCACUUAACAUGGGUAUUUGCUGUGUGAUAUAUCUAACUUAGCCUGUGGUAGCAAACCAGAUACAUGUGGGAAGUUUGGUUACUGCAAUCAUAAAUAAAAGUGUUUGAGGAGGGGAGCUGUUGUACUUCAGGUUACUCUGCUCUCUGUGCUGUUUAAAUCAGGGAAUAGAAAAUCAUUUAUGAUGAAAGUAUAAGUGGAAAGAGAGGCACAAAGUGUAGCUGGGAGGCUGCAAAAGACUCCAUUAUCGGCAAAUUCAGGGUAACAUAAAUCACUGCUAUUCUCUGAUCUCGGUUGUAGUAGAUCUUUGGUGGUGGUCUCAUUUGAAAGGUCAGAAUAACAAACACAGGACUUUCUCCUCAGAGGCCUAAAUGUAAGUGUUAAAGUCAGCAUGUGCUCCUUUUGAGUUAUGUAUUUAAUGUUACUUAUGUACAGUACAUUAAAUCACCUGCAAACAUUCGAUGAGUUGUGAGACGUGCUCAGAAAAACAGAGUACUCCAUCGUCACUUUUUUCACCUCUUCCUCCUUUGAACCUCCGAUGUGUUUGUUUUCCAGAUUUCAGUCUCCACACGUUUCCCACAUCAAUAACCUCAUUUCAUUUUUCCUCCCAGCAUGCCACAUUGUUUGCUUUUGUUUGCAGUACACAGCUUGAAUAGAUAGCCUGCCUCUUUUUUUCUUCCGCCUAUACCUGGAGCUCAUGGAUCUCCCACUGACUCUAUUAUAUCCACUCCUGCCUGAUGAUAUAGCUCGGGGAAGUGUUUUCUAUAAAGUACAGACUGUAAUGUGCGCUGAGCCCAUCAUGCAGUGUGUGCGGUUUGUGCCUUAUAACUUUAUUUUCUGAAAAUGUGCGGGUUCACAAGUCUCUGCAUAUCAACAGCUAGAGUGACUGUGCGAUUGUAGAUGAAACACCAGAGAAUUGACACCUAAUGAGUGGAUUUAUGUAGCUGCUGCUUCAACGCUGGAUAAUUAAAGAGGUACUGAGUUCACCAUUUACAAAAACACGGUCCUUUUUAGUUACAUUUGCAAAAAUCCAGAGUCUCAGGAUUGAAAUAGUCUCACAUUUAGCGGCCUUUACAGUGGUAUUAUUUAAUCAAAUUAGUCAAAGUUAAAAAGAUGUUUGGUGUCUAGUACUAUGUCUGUGACCCUAUAUGUUCUGUUGAUGAAGUUAGGUGCUGUUCUGAGCAUUAUUUGUGGCUAUAGAGUGGCGUUUUGGUUGAGGUUUGUUUAUGGCUCCUUAGACCGCUGUGUUUUGCUAUCCUGCGGUUGUUACUAAAGUUGGUAAAACUAGAGAAGAAAGCGGUCGGCAACAUUCAUCUCUGGAGGGGGUGUCUAACUUGGUGUUACGGUGUGUUUGACCCUAAAUUAAUUUUACGAUGGAAUAUCCUUUUAACGCAAAACUGUAGUAUUUAUAUUUUGUUUGAUUUGGCUGCAAACUUACUGAUGAUAGUAGUUAUUUUAAGGUAAAAGUACAUUUAAAUGCACACACAGUGAUAAUGUCUGUUUGGGAUGUGAUGGAUGACGAUAAACAAACAUAGGACUUAUCUGAAAGUAAAGGUCUUUGCUCACCUUUGCUGCCUACUGCAGGUUCAAUUACGGUUACCUGGUUCAGGAGCAAACAGACAGAUCUUUUUUUUCCAAGUCUACCGAACCUUGACCUUCUGUUCUGGUAACCACGUCUAAAUUAGUAGCUAUCAGAAAGCGUUUUUGAGUUGUGCUGAAACGUAGGAUCAACCUUCCUACUCGUGCUGGUUGGGAACUAAAACUAAACUAAAACUAAACUAAAACUAAACUAAAACUAAACUAAAACUAAACUAAACUAAAUUUCCUUUGAUUUCUGCAGGAUUGCUUUCUGAGGACAUUUGGAAUCAGCCGCUCCUUUCUCUCUUUGCAGCUGAAGAGUUUCAGUGACCCUGAAUCACCAGUUAUGGAUUUUUUUUUCUUGCUUCUUUUAGGUAAGAAAAUAAAAUCCUUGAUAUCAAAGAGAAAGACGAAUAUUGGAGAAGAAGGAAAAGCUUGUGUGAUGUGUGAGUAUGUUUGAUAUGGACUUGCUGUUUCUUCUGAAGUUGCAUGACGUGCCCUUCUGUCUGAUCUGGGUUAUAAAGAUCUGCUUUACUAUCUUCAAAAUAUUAAACCGACCUCCCGAGGGAAGAUCAGUGAUGUUCGGAGAGUUUCUUGGUUGAUCUGUAACCAUCCUGUUGGCUCUGACUCACAGCGAGGGGCUGAAGGCAGCAGUUCCCUGGGGGAGCGCCCGGCCUGUCAAACGGCUGUUUCUCGUGUCAAAUAACAGACACUUUUCAUCCUCUGCUGCUCUUUUAUGUUCCUCUCCGAUGUUUGGAAAUCAAACACAGAUGUUUCUCAUGGCACACCAAUCAACCAACAAAAUGUUUUUACCCCAAACAUGGUUUGAUUUGUUUUUCAGACUUCGACACAAACUUUUACUCUGUCACUCAGCUUUUGCUGACUUUCCUUUUCUUCUUGGUAAUAAGUUUUCAAUUUUCGGUAAAUCUUUGUUGUUAUCGGUGAUGUGCUGAGAAACGCAUGCCUGUCAAGAAUUGCUUGUACCUUGCAAAACGCGCACCGGUUAUAGAAGAGUGGUCCACGGAAAUGUAAAAUUUAAAACCCGUACAAUUCUUAUUUGUGGGGCUAAACUGUGAUGAGUAAUGUUCUGAAAGUAAUUCUCAGUGGGUAUGCGUUUCGCAGCGUAACACAAGCAGAGCCAACGACUGACUCCAUGUACAGGGGCGGGGUUUCCUCCUCUCUGAUUUUGAUUGACGGCUGGCAGAGUAGUCUGAUUGGCAACUGAGUAAAGAACAAAUGUGAUUGGUGGAUCGCUGCACAGCACAUCCAGAGUCACAUGCAGUGUUUCUCAGUCAGCUACCCUUGAACUGAGAUGAGUUCAUUUACCUCUGACACCGCAGGCUCUGCAAUGUGACUAUCACGCACACGUACAUCGCCAUGACGAUGCUCAAACGAUAUAUCGUGCAGCCCUAUGCUCAACAUACGUAUUUAUUUCACCAAACAUGUAGGUACACACACAUGAAUCUAAAUUAAAUAAAUAAACAAAAUACUGUAGCAUCACAUGACUGACAAUGACACGAGACGCAAGCUACACACACACACACACACACACACACACAAUAGCUAGACAAAGGUUACACACACACUCUCCCCGACAACCCGGUCAUGACUCCAACUCACCCAAAAACAUCUUUGUCCACCACAUCUAAAAAUACAGCGAGUUAGGGGAUUGAGAAUAUGACGUCACCUGCGUCUGAGCAGGGCGCCGCACAGCCGAGGAAACAGAAACUUAAACAACGCGACUAAACAAAUUUGUCUCGUUUUGUUUUAGUCAAUGAAGAUUAAGAGACAUUUUAGCAGAGAUUUUAUUUUGUGACCCACAUUCAGUCGCGUUUUUAUUCGUCAACAAUAUUGCGUUACAUAUGUAGUUAUAGUUAUCAUAACAAGACCACCAUUUAAGUUUGGUCUCGUCUCGUUUUUGUCACGUAAGGUUCAUUGAGGACGUUACUCGUCAUAAUUUUCAUUGACGAGAGCAACACUAGACUGAAACUGCCAAAAGUGAACUCAAGAGGCAAAAUACAGACUUUAGUUUCAGAAGGGCUGUUAAACGACUGAAUCCUGACCUUUGACCUCACAGUAAGGUUCAAAGACAAACGUGAAAACUACUCCCUGACUCAGUUUAGCUCCGGUCGGGUUGAAGAAACCCCCGUUCACCCACAGAUACCUGCUCCCCAAAUUACAGAAUGAUGAACUGUGUGAAGCCGUGCGACAAUGCCUCACUUUCAGAUUAAUCAUCACCAACAUGAACGGUGUGAGGAGCAGCCCGUGUGCUUUAUUCAAGAUUUAUCAAACUCUAAUUACCAAACUCCAUGUUAAAAUUAAUCAGAGUAUAAUUAAAACAUCAAUCUUUAAAGGCUUUUCCUGCUGCAGUCUAUCAGUGACACAGCACCAUCUACGGAUGGAGGCGAUUACUCAGUCUGGGGUUUCUGGAGCGGGAAUUCAAUCAGGCUGCUUUCAAAAACUCUUUUAUUUCAGCCUCUGAAAAGAUCCUGUUUGCAUAUUUUCUCUGGUUUUUAUGAACUCUCCUUUAGAAAUGAGCCCUGAUAUUCUCUUGCAGCCUCUUUUCUAAAAGGAUCUGAUCGUUUUUGUCCAGGUUUGCUCCGACUAACCUUAGUGUGGAUGUAAGGAAGCCCAGAGAGGCAAAGAAGGGGGAAAAAAAUUGUAGUUUGGGGAAAGUUUGGCUCUUUUGGACUGAGGCAAAGUAUAACAGCUGGCUAAAGAGCUUUGACACAACAUUUGACAAAAUGCUGGAUAUAAAGUUACAGUUAACAGUAAAGAACAGUAAAUCUAAAAACAAACCAGUGAGGUUUCGCUGCAGCCAGGUUAGGAGAGAGAAAGUCCAGAUCAGAAGGUCUAAAUAGACUCAGCCUGACUGACUUUGGAUUCAUGCAGCGAGGGAGGCAAAAGUUUAACGGUUGCAUCCUUGACUUGCAUCUGUCCAUGCGUCUGAAUCACUCCAGCCUUGUGAUGGGCACGGCAGUUCUUUUAGAUGUACUGAAUCACUCGAAAGAUUCGUUCAAAAGAUUCGUUCACCAAAUCGCCGAAUCAUUUAGCGGGAGGAGCCUGUGACUCCGACCUCCUGAACUGAUUCACAGCUGAACGUUAAGGAUUCAGUUCAGUCGUCCGCUUCUGGGACCGGGAGAAGAGAGUGUUUAUCCGUGUUUCUUUGGCAAACAGGUUUGUAAAAACGAACUUGUAAGUCAUGAUGUUUGACGUGUCCUAUGGUAUGGUAUUUAUCAGGUCUGCUCGGUAAAUUGGGCUUCGUGAGUGAUUCAUUCACUGAACUUUUAGAAUAAUUCACACUGAACCGUUCCCUCGCAAACCGCUGCAAUGAUAGGAUGCUGUGGGUUUACCUUAUUACAUGCUGUGUCCUAUUGUAUGCAAGUUGUUCUGGUGGAGAUUUAGCAGUAAAAAAAAAUGGUAGUUUUGUCUCUGAUUCCAGAGAGUAUAGUUCAAUGCGUGAUUCGUUCACCAAGUGAUUCAGGCGUUGGUGCAUGUGGUCCCCUGUUCACCGGCUGCUCACUUCUCACUUCAGCUCAACUGAAGAGAGAAAUGAACGAAUCACUCGAGGGAGUAAUUCCAUUCCGUUCAGUUAAAAGAUUCGGUUCUUUUGAACGAAUCGUUCGCAAACAACACAACACUACUCCAGCCUGAGGUGCAAGAAAAGGAAGAGAAAGAGCGAGGUGAUGUUUUUAUGUUUUGCUGCUGCAUUUGUCAAUGACUUGAUAUGGAGGCAUAUCUGCAAGUUAAAAGACCUCCAUGAAGGCCACUCUUGUAUAUCCUCACUUGUUUCUCUGCAGAUGUCUGUUCUACGGUGGCCCUGAGGUGCAAAUCAGAAAACACAACAACAAAAAGAGAAAACACAACGGCAAAUCAGAGCUGCGGUCAAGCCAGUAAACGUUCCUUUUUUUCUGUGGUCAAAUUCUUCAUUUACUGUUUCAAGCAUCUUAAUUUGAAAACCAGGCGUCCUAAUGGUGUCUGCUCGCUCGUUCAAGAUCAUUUGAAUGAAUUUACCGUAAAGGUUAGAAUACAAGGGUAUGCUAAUUUUAGUGUCUGUUAGUUUGCCCAUGGAAAAACGAACCACAGUUCUGGUUUGUCGUUGUAUUUUCUCUUUUGCCGUUGUGUUUUCUGAUUUGUUGUGUUUUCUGAUUUGCCGUUGUGAUUUGCACCUCAGGGCCACCAUACCAUCCUCUCUCCUCCAUCCUCUCAUAUCAGAGCAGAAGCAGCUUUAAAAUGCUCCUCAUCACGGCCGGUGUGUACGACUUCCAGCUCGACUGUGGAGUUAUCAUAUUAGAGCUUUAAUACCUUUAUGAAUUGAGCAGAGGGAAACAGCGAUAAAACUGUGCACUUGUGCCAUACGUAAAUACAGGUUUCCUUUCUUUCCUUAGAGGAAUCACACUCAUCUUGCAGUAAAAAUCCUCCUGCCAAUUUACAGUGAAGUGUUACUUCUCCAGGACCAUUUUGAGAUAAGUGAUGGUAGUAAAUGCUAAACACCCGAAUCUGUCCCUGGUUUACUUCCAGGCCUGCACGGCAUCUGCAAUUGACUCAAAUUAAAUCAAGCCAGUGUGAUGUGUUGUUCAAACUUCUUCAGCCUGACAAAGCACGCCUCUUGGAUGAUAAAUCGAGCUGCUGAAAACAUCUAAUUUGUGAAGCUGCCUGCUCCCCAAUUGAAAAGCAAUCAAUACACCCAUUAGCUCCACUGCCAUUAGUUUCCAAACAUGUGAGCACUUUCCAAACGGCCUCGGAGCGAAAAGUCAUUCGGGCAAAUAUUUGUAGACAACCAUCGUCUUCCACUCACCGGGAUCAUGCUGCAGGCUACAGCGAACCGCAGAAAGACUUAUUGACUUUCAAUGAGUUUUUCUUCCUGUAAUGUUGUAAAGCUCCCAUUAAUCACACGAUGCUGAGCCCUCGGUUCAUACUCACGUAAGACUGUCUACAGUCUCUGAUGCAGCUGACGGUUCCUCUCCUUUUUUAUCUUUCCUUAGAGCUAAUUAUUUCUUCUUAUAACCAUGCAUGUCUGUAAUCUUUAUCUCCCUCAUGGUUAUCGGGGAUUUCUCUGCUCCCUUUGACUCUUAAUAUCUCCUGCAAAGAUUUAGUGACUCGGUUCGCCGAUGUUUGAGAAGGUUUGUAUUAGGCCUGGGCGAUUUGGCAAAAAAAAUGAUCACAAUAUAUUUUGUUGUAUCGUCCGAUCUCAAUUAUUAUCACGAUUUUUUUAUCAGAAGAAACUAAAGAUUAGUUCAACAUUUUAUUAACAUACAGAGUAAAUAUCAAAGAAAAUUGAAUAAGACAAACUUAGAAAAAAAUAAAAAACAAUUUAACUCAACAACAAAUAUAGAUAAAUACUAAAUAAUACAGUGAAUUAGUUUACAGUCCAGAGUGUUUCUGCAGGUAUACAAGACCCAAAAUAAACAAACUGCCCCCCUCAGAGAUAAUAAAGACGCCUCAAAAUGUAAACAUUAGAUGAUGUAAACGUAAACGUUUUGCUCUGGUGGCCGCACCGCUAGUUGUGGCUAAUCUGCUAAUGCUACUUGUACCGUCAGCAAUGACAGGCUGUGACAUACCUUACACAUCGGCUUAUUACUCGGCGUCACUUUGGAGAUACCCGCACCACCGCCACACAACCGACGUUGAAUAACUUCUCAACAACAACACCUUUGGAGAAUAACUCAAAGUCACGGCUGACAUCUAUUUUGCGUCCCUCAGCGCCGCGUUUAGCUCCACGUUCGGUCAUUCUGUUUACUUCUCCGACAACUUUCAGAAGUGAGCAGGAAAAGCUCGACUCUGAUUGGCUGUUAUGACACACAUAUUUGAUCGAGUAGAUAUGCUCACAGGUGAUCACCGUAAUCGAACUGAAAUUUCUCACGAUCAUAGAAUCGCCCGGUCCUAGUUUGUACUUCCUCUUUGAAAAUGAUGUCAUUCUAUCUGAUCUGAAUCCUAAACAAGCCUUAAAACUCCAAAAGGUGAUUAAUCUCUCCUGCUUUAAAAACUCAAACUGAAGUAACGAUACCCGUAAAGACACCAGCUGAAUAAUUCUGUUGCUGCAAAGUUCAGAGGAGUGAAAAAUGCGACUUCAUCCAAUUUGCAAAAAGUUAUUUGACUUUAUGUUUAAUGCAGGAGUUUUAAUUAUUUGGUGCCUGUUUUUAAUUGAGCCGUCCAUAACAUGAGGGUAAGUGUUUCCUUCCUUGUGUGGCGUCACAGUUUUGUGUUUUUCCCCAGAGACUCUCUCUGUUUGUCGUCCUGUUUGCUCCUCGAAUCCCUCUGAUUUCAUCCAUGUCAGAGUUCGUACAUGUUACAGGAGCACAGUCGACGACACCCACGUCUGAAUGAAGUGAUUCACUCCUGCUCUGUCUCAUUAGCGUGGACUGAAAACAGCCAAAUAGCCCCACAUCACCUCCUUUUACCUUCCUCCUCCCUCUCCUCCUCCUCCUCCUCCUCCGCUCGCUCCGGCUCUUUCUCUUCCAGGACUUGAUUUCUAUAUUUUUACUGUUUUGUUUUUACGAGAGUAUUGUCCCCUCGCCCUCCGUAGAAGUGAUGUCCUGGGACUUUUUUUACGAGUACAUUCCCAGUUUUAUAUGUGUUGCAUUUUUUUCCAGCCCCUCCAGAUUAGGCCGAGCGAUCUCAUUGGCCACGGUGGAACCUUGCCCCUCCCACUUCUGUGAUGCUGCAUAAGGUGACAUAGCAACAGCUGCUGCAUGCUGCUCAUCAAUCAUAUGUGGCUGCUGAUGCUCCCUGUUUUCGGCUACGUGUCCUUAAUGCUAAACGUGAGCCGUGUGUGUCUGAAGCUCGGUGCGGGGACAUAAAGAGUUUUAAAAGAGACGAUAAAUCUGCAUGGAAACGAGACGACGCUGCCAGAGGACAGUGGCUAAUGUUGACGGAGAAUCUGUAGCGCUGAUGGUGAAGUUAAUGACUGUGGUCAUUACAGGAGGGUUCGGUUCAUACCCGGGCGGACGUGUUCGGAUAGCAUGAAUAUGUAUGACCAGACAAACUCACCCAGAGGCUCCGUCCUGUCGCCAGAAGCGUCAGAGGAAACACAUUUCCUGUCUGGCCCGGACUCACUUCUCAUCCUCCAUCUAAAAAAAAAAGGAUAUUAUCAGAGAUACUUCCUCUCUCCUCGCUCCAUCUCCUACAAACUCUGAACAAGAAAUCAUCCUCGAAGGUCUCCUCCUUCACUUUUUCAAUCUUUAUUGUUUUCUGCAUUUACACUCACAUUACAGUCUCAUUACAGUCAUCUCUUUAUCUCUGCAAAACUAAAAUCACUUUUAUACUUUCUGUGUUUUUACUGAAGUUUUGAACAAUCCACAUUUUCACCUUUCAGACAAUUUUGAUCAAACUAGAGCAUCAGAUUUUCACCUCAUGAAAGUCUAAAUAACAAUCUUACAGAGAUGUUUAUAGAAAACAGCUGGUCGAGAUGCACUUGGUGAAUCCUUCCAGGUCUUGGAUUCAGAGUAGACCAAUGUUAAAUAUCAGUGUUUGGUUUUGACUUCAUUGUGAGCCGUACAAAUGUUUUAAAAAGCAUUAGCAUUAAAAUUUAAAAUGAUAUCUGAAAUGUCUGGGUUUACAUUACAAUAGGUGACCAUACGUCCUCUUUUUUAGAGGUUGUCCGGCCUUGUCCGGGGGGAGUUCAUAAAAUCCUUUAAAUGUCCGUGGUUUUGUAUGAAAGUUUUGAGUUUGUGUUGUGUUGACUAACUGAGUUAGAAGCAUGUAAAAAACACUCGAUCUGACUAGAAAAACCCUCAAAAUUUACUACGGUGACUCCGCAACUCUGCCCCAUGUAGUAGUGUCCACUUUUUGGGGAUUCAGAAUAUGGUCACCCUACGUUACAAAGUUAGCUGGUUAGACUGCAGCGUUGUUUCUGCAACUGAUAAGUACCCGACUAUGGAGACCUGAACCAAGAACCAAGUAGUUCCAAAAUGUUUUCCACCCUCUCGUCCAAAUUUGUAGCUCCAAAGAAAUGAUAUUUUCCCAACCACAGAGUUAAACUCUUGGCUCACUGUCGUAGAUCGUCCACAAACUAAUGUGAGUCAGCUGUUUUAAAGGUAACGGAGCGUUAUUACCCAGGCUAGCUUUAAACCAACAAGAUAAACGGCUCUGAGCGAGUGUUACAUGUUCAGUCUAUAUCCUUUAGAAGACGAAGAGUCUCUGGUGUGGCGUCUGCAGACAGACCGCUGCUGUUGAUGAACCUCCUCCAGCCGUCCACAUCAGACCACGGGCCACUUCAUGAAUAAAUGAAGCCACUGAGGGUGACUUAUGUUGCCCGGAGAUUCAGCUCGGCGUGGAGGAGGACUCGGGGCUCGCUAUGUUAAUGUCCUCUGUAUAGAUUACACUGCUUACUAAUUCAUGCAGGAGGAGGUAAUUUAUUGGGCUUUCAUGGAGGUCCCCAAUGGGAGAUAAAUGCUGUCUGUCCAGCCCUCUGCAGGGACCUCUCAGGAUUCAUCAAUUGGAGGCUAAAUUGGUUUUUACUGGACUCCAUAGGGAAUCCUUUAUAGAUGGGUGAGCUCCGGCGGACUACUGCACUAUACUCACCCCCUGGCAUUGCAAACCGGCGUUUAAUCCAUGAAUAUUUAAUGUAUUCCUGUCUCCAUACGCUCUGACAAUAAGCUCCAUUUCCCAAAUCAAAAGCAUGACAGGACACCAAAGGCGUGGAGGUCAGAGGUCAGGCGUACAGCGCCCUGAUGGCAUACUGCAAAUUUUCAGAUGACCUAACAGCGACCAGGAUGAUGAGGAGGGGUUUGCGUGAGAAGAAGCAGAGCGAGUAUGAAGUAUGAAGAGCGAGUCUCUCUGUGCUGCAGGGAUUCAUGUAUUUUUAUUCUCGCUCUGUGACAGUGAUGGGUUCAGCAAAACAUACAGAUCGUGUGAUUGUUGACGUGUGACCUUUAAACUGUGGGAGGUAUCGACUGCAGCACAGAGCGUCAGUCACGCCAUAAAUCAGUCAAUACAUGUGACUGUACACGACAUUACUGUACACUUAUGAUAAUAUCACAUUAAUAAACACUCUCAACCCCAAGUCCACUCCUCCAGGUCAACGUCUUCAAUCUCAACACGGUCCAGUUCUUCUAUCAGGACAGGAAAUGAACCAUUUCGGUCAUGUGAGCUCCAGUGCUGCUGGUCCAAUGGUUUCCUCUCUGUGGACCAGCUUUGGUAGAUACUAGGAAUGGGCACGAUUAAUCAAUGAUCGAUUAAUUGAUCAUUAAGAAUUACGUGCAUCAUGCAAAAUUCCGAUCGAUCUACUGUUAUGAAAAAAGGGCAGACAGCGUGCGUCCUUCCUCCAGCUGCUUUCCAGAAAAGAUCAACCUCUUUUGGACGACCUGUCCUCGGCUAAAGUCGUCCCCGGAAAUGUCCCCGAUUUUAGCGUUUCAUGAAUGCGAAAAAAACAACGAUUAUAACGGUAGCUGGGCAGAUACGAAGCGCGGGUGAACAUGUAGAGCGCAGUUUAGAACAAACAGUUUGGAGGGGGGGUAUUUCAAUGGGGAAAAAAUGAUUUUUGUGUAUUUUCUACCAUUCACAUAAAAAAACAAUCAAAUCAAUGAUUGAUUAUUAAUUUAUAUGAUUAAUUGAUCAAGGGACUUUCUUAAAAUGCCCAUUACGAGUAGAUACUGAUCACUGCGGACUAUAAAUAUCCCACAAGAGCUGCAGAUUUGGACCCACGAUGACCCAGUCCUGACUCUUGUCGAAGUUUCCUUACGUCCUUCAUGUUUUUUUCUUUGCUGUCUCGUCCUCCGUGUCCCUCCUGUACGUCUCUGAAUUCCUCUAUCUGUGCACGGCUUCCUUUACCCCUCUCUCCUACGAGCUGAAGUGAUUACACCUGCACCUCAUUACCCGAUCAGCUCUCUCCAUAUGAACUCCUCCAAUCUUUGCCUAAUUGUUCUGUCAGCUGCAGUCAUAGACGUGUGUUUGGACAAACACAGUCCUCACUCACUCACUCUCUCGCUCCCUGAACUUAGCUAACACGCUCUGCUUCAGAUAAUCCUGCUCCUGCCUAUCUGGUCUGCACACUCCUCAGCUCUCACCUGCCUGCACACUCUCUCCGUCUCCAUAUCUGCUCUACAUCUCUGUCCCACUCGAGCCGCUGCAACACCUGCCAAUCUGUUCCUGCUGCAGCCCGUCAUCCCCCAAACCCUCCUCACAUCGUGGUCUUCUUUCUGGUCCACUCAGAGUCUCAGAGCUGCACUUAUAUGUUCCACCUUGAAGCUAUGUCGACAUUCAUUGCAUGACUUUCCAAUGGGCUAGCAGCUAUCGGGGUCUAAUUAUCACUGUUAAAAAUGGUAAAUACAUUUUUCACUUGGUUCCUCUGGCUGACAUGUAACCAUAGUAACUUAACGAUGUCUUGCUGAGCCAUCAGUCUCACAUUUUAGGACCUCACUGACUCUGGGCUUCAUCUAAAUCAGUGUUUUUCAACCUUUUUUGAGCCACGGCACAUUUUUUACAUCGACAAAAUCCUGGGGGACACCACCAACCAAAAUGACACUCUGUAGCCUAAAACAGUUUAUAUUAUAGACUGUAGAGAUGCACCAAAUGAAAAUUCUUGGCCGAAAACCAAAAAUGAGGAAACCAUGACCGAAAAACAAAAGAAACUAUCACGCUGAUUAUUAGUACCAUUGCAUUUAUGGCUAUGACUGUGUGGUAAUGUCACUAAAAUCAAGGCAGUGCAAUUGUAUAAAUCAGUAUUAAUUAACGUUAAAAAUUAAAAUGAACAUUCAAUUCAUAUUAAUUUAUGCAACUGCAAUGCGAGGUUUGAGUUUUUGAGUCAGCAUGUUGCUGCAUGUUCUGUGAUGUUUACACCUUUGGAUGGCGCCCACGAGUCAGGGGCAAAAACAACUCCAAAGUUUUAAGAUAGGAAGUGUUGUGAGCGGUAGAGAGCGGCUAGAAGAAGUAAAUUCAGCGUGUUUACAUUAAAGCAGGUGAGAGCAGGAGCUGAGCAGGAGUCUGCAAUGUUGAUUUCUGUAAAAUCUAUCAAUAAAAGUACAAAGAAGUGAAACUUCCUCCAGAGUCUGUUUGUGUGAUCGACUGCAACAUCCGCCACAGACAGAGUGGGCGUGCUCAGAGGGAUUUUCCCGUUCUGUGCGGCGUUCCUCUCAUAUUCAGAGUGAUGAUUGGGAUGUUUGGAUAUCAGGUGAUAAAUUAAACCCGACGCAAAGAAACUCUCUGCAGACGCACCCCUUCUUGAAAUUUCAGCAUUACACGCCAUGCCGAUCGCUCGCCAUAGUUCUUAGAUACAUUGAAAUACCUCCACACAGCAAACACGUUGGCUCUUUGCGCAUACUGGUCGCGGUUUUUGCUUGCUUGUGCUUGUGGCCGUGUUGUUUAAGUUAGAAAAGUGUUAUGGCUGAAAACCAAAAAUGCACGUUUGGGCCAUUUUCAGUAGCCGGAUUUUCGGUGUGUCCUUAAAUUAUAGUUGGUAAUAUAGUUUCUAAAUUUAUUUAUACUCACUCAGUGUGAACCCUGUCCCUGUUUACAUGAACACAAAGCUGAUAUCUUGGCAGGAAUGGAAGAAAGACACACACUAAGCUCUUCAUGAACAGCUCUCAGUCUCUCUCUGUUUUUAGUUUUUUUUACAGGCUAUUAACCGUCUGCUGCCACCCAGUGACAUAUUAGAGUAUUAUUCUGACGCUCACCUUAUUACAGCACAAACACUCGACAAUGGCACAUUAUUUGCAAAUUGGAUAAUUUCCCGCGGCACACCUGACGAUCUCUCACGGCACACUAGUGUCACAUCCCACUAUAAGACCCAACCUCACAAAAUAAGAAGAAUCUGACCGUGAAAACUCAAAAUAAAAUCUUUAUAGAUGCAGAUUUUUAAGAAACCCAGGCAUAUGGAUGUGUCUGGGACGACUCUGGACAGCCUGUUUGUUUUUAAGCUUAUCUCUGCAAACCCACAUCCAAACUGCUUGAUUAGCACCAGCUCCCUCUCUCAUUUGAGGGGUGCAGCUUGCUUUCACAGCAAAGUGAGCAGCUUUCUUCAGUCAAGUGUUAAAGAUGGAGAUGAGGUGCCGUCCCUCCGCCCGUCUGCUCGACACACAAAAAAUCAAAACGUGGGCGUCCCUCCUGGAGGAAUACCGCCAGACUUCUCUGUGUUGGAUUGUUGAGAGGAAACUCUCCAAUGAAUCUGCUGCAAACAAGCUCAUUAGGGCCAGAAAAGCCGUGUGUUUGUGAUUUUGGAUCACCCCCUCCUCUCUCUGAGCCGUUGAUACUUUAAUUAACGUCAUCAGUCAUAGCGAUAAUGCAGAAUUAGCCAGCCUCCUUUUGUUGAUGCUCUCCCUGCAGGCUGGAUGUUCUUUGCUUCGCUUGCCUGACCUGUUUUGCCACCGUGCAUGUUAAACGAGUCCAUCUUGCCCGGCCUCCUCCUGUUUGUGGGAAUCAUUGCGACAAACAGCCGCUAUUCUCCUCUGAACCCCCUUCUGUGAAAGUCUACAAACAUGGCUGCUGUAAUGGAGUCUGGAUGGUAAUGCCGGGGGAAGACAGAAAUUUGGUAUUACCUUAAUUUCCCAUCCGAACAUCUUAUUUCCAGGAAGUAUUUGACUCCUUUUUUGUGGUUCAAUCUGUCGCACGCUGGAGGAUAUAUUUCCAAUUUAUGUCGCCCCAGGUGUAUUACCAGCCUUCAGGCGUUUCUGAGCAGCGUUGGUACAUCCAGCGGAGGUCAGUAAACCCAUUUCUCAUAUAAACACUGGCCGUCAUCCUGAUGGAAAAACUGUUUUGGAGAAAACUCUGAUUGAUCCAACAACCCAUGAAACAAGUUCGCCCACCGUCUGAGGCAAAAGUCCAAACUUGACGAGACUCCAUCAGUGUGGAAACUUUCUCAACGCACCUGUGAUGUUUUUUUGCCUUUUCCCAAAUAUUGUUUUAUUGGUUUUAAUAUCGCUCUUGUGUCUCUUUGUCUCUGCCUCUCCAUCUGCUCAUUCUUGUUAUUUCUGCUGUAAAAAAAACACCUGCUCGGCCCUCAGGGACCAAUAACGUCUCAUCCAAUCGAUACAGCUCCGUCCCCGUCAACAGCUAUUUGACCACUGCGAUCCAGCUGUUGGGUAAACGAGUCAGUAAUUGUUUGCAGCACCAGAUGUUGAUUUGAGCGGGACUCAACUCCCCUAAUGCCCUCUGGAGAAAGACAGAGCUCAUGAAACUCUGUUUUGUUUUUGGUGUUUUUGAUAAAAUAACCCAAAAAAAAAAGAUUUGGAUCUUUCUUCUUCAUACAUCAUGUCAAACUUUUUGGAUCGAAGUGACCCCAUAAAGUUUCCAUUGUUCACUUUGCCAUAAAAACUGUCGUAUUCCUGUCAGGGUGUGAAACCUCUGAAAGAUUUAGAUCUCCCUGGGCUCAGUCUUUUCCUCCAGGAGGGUGAGCAGCAGUUCUUUAAAGCACACUGAGGCCGGUUUCUUUCUCUGUGGGACAAAAUCCUCCUAAAGCACAGUGAUGUUUCCCCUCAUCUGCACUGAAAUAGAAAAACGGGUGGGUACUCUUUCAAACCACACGGGGGUCCUGACUUCAAACUGGUGCAAAGGGCAGAUCAGAUGUCGAGGCUUCUUUUAGACCGAUGCAGCUCUCAAAUUUCAACACCAGUGGACAUGAAUGGAGGAUUAGUUUGUUGGCCACCGUUCUGCAGGAUAAAGUUGAAGAGCAUUGAGGUUUCCUGGUCAGGUACUCAACUGCGGCAAACCAGUGCUGUUGUGGCCCAACGCUGAAGUAUGUCCGAGUUACACUAAAAAUGACUUCAGCUCUGUGUGAGGAUGCCUAGUCAAGUCCAAAGAAUAGAAGGUCCACAUGAAUGAUCAGUUUAAUAAGAUUUACUGGAUGCAGACCUGGAUUACCUCCAACUCCACUGCAUGCAGAACGGUACCACAUGCGCUAUGGCGUUUGUGUGUUUGUGAGGCCAAUUUUGGACAGCAACAGAACCCGCAAAUUCACAUGCAAUCCCACGAUGAAGAGUUGUCUGUAUAAAGACAGCCACAUGACCACAUAAAGAGGUUGAUUGUGUCCUUCAGGAGGAGGAAAUCCACUCUGUCCAGACCAGUAGAUCAGAUCAAAUCAGCAUUUCCUCAUCCAUGGUGUCAUCAGGGUGAAAUGACACCUGAAAACCUUUGACCUGUUCGUCCCCGCCCACGUUUGCAUGGUGUGAAAUACGAUCCGCCUGAAACAUGUAGUGUAUAUCCAACAUGAGUCUGGUCCUGCUCGAGGUUUCAGUUUUUCCUCGCCGCCGUAAGUUGGGGAAUUACUUGCUGUUAGAUUGGUCCAAUCAAAUCUGUCACAUCUCAAGGUUGGGUUUGGUCUGGACCUGCUCUUGUGGAAAGUGUAAAAACAAAGAUUUAUCAACUGAAACUCCUCGUUUCGGAUUUUUCCUUGGGUCACAUGGUGCCGACAGAGGGACUUUAGUCUCAAAGCAAAAUAUCUGAGGUCUUAAAGUCAAACAUCCCACUCACUCCAAAUGGUUCUUCCAAACCCUGUUUUCACAAUCUCCACCUUUGAAGGAGUUUUGAAAAUGUAAUUCGUACUACGUCGCUGUAAAUGUUCAAAACUAUCCAGGUACCUGCAGACAGGACCUCAGUGAGUGGUUUUAAACCCUAAAGUUGGUGAAAACGCAGACUCAAACUACUCCUCAUAUGGAUAAAUGUAAACGGGCGGUUCAGACCAGAAUAGUUCUUCAUACCAGGCUGUUUUUCUGCUGCAGAAAUGUGGAUUUUACCACAGUGACUAUGGUGGAUUCCUUUGACUGGACGCUCACAGAAAUGCUUUUUACAUCGAUUACCACUCAUCUUAUGGUGCACAACUCAUCAGACGCUGUAUCAGACAACAUCGAAAACCAACAAUGUGUCUGUCCGCCCGUCUGUCUGUCUGUGAAUACUCUCCACUCCACUAAGAAAACUGCUCAGAGACUCUUUUCAUCCGAGUGAUUUUACCACUUCUGACUAAACCGUGCAGCUCUAUGAAAGAGAGGAAGAAGAUGCAUUUGGCUUCAGAUGCACAGAUAAUACUCAUUAGUAUAGGAUCAAUUCAUUGCAUGUAAGUGUUCACAUGAGGGAAGAAUACCUCCACUCUUUCCUUUUUGUGUUUCUUGCUGUAUGUAAUUAGUGAGAUGGACCAUUUUCUGCAGCGCUCAAUAAACUUAUUAGAUGAGGUGGUUUGUUUGCAGGCUCCACAUUAAUUACGUAAUUACUUAGAAAAACUAAACUUCUAAAAAAGAGGGAUCAGCAUAACGUGCCUGGUGACAUUGUGGGUUUGUUUUUGUUUUUUUAAUGCGGUUGAAUCGAGGUGCUGCUGCAGAAAAGAGGAGGAUACAGACGUCAGAUGAGUCGGUCACUUCCUGAUCUGGAUAAACAGUCAUGCACUUAAAAUGGUACCAAUGGAAAGAUGCACUUAUACCCAGAAAUGGCCUCCCAGGUGAUCAACACUUUUAAAUGACUGAACAUUUAAUGCGACUCGUCCCAGGAGAGCACGUUUGGCUCUAUUUAGGAGGAUGGGCAGAUUUAACACGGUGUAAAUACGAACAGACAGAUCGUGUUAAAAGCAGCAUUUCCAUUCACAGGGGGUGUAAGAUAUAUAAAAAGCUCCUAAAGCCCCUUUUAUUUUAUCUCCUGAUGGACCAAUUUACUCUGGACCAGCUGUUAAUAAUGAGCCUUUUAGUCCAGAUCAGGAAAUUGAGGAAAGAGCGUGUUACCACAGCGACUUGACGUCUGGUCAGCGGAAGGUCAAACUGAACAUCAGAAACUCGUGAUCCAGCUCCUCGACCCUCCAGGCUCCUCUGAAGUUUGGCCUCAGUUUUUGUCAGAGACAACAGCCGAUACACGCUUUAACCUCAGGAUGAGACGAACAAGAGGCCAAGUUAGAGCUGAUGCUGAAUGUUUUUAAUGAGUUUUCACACGUCAGAUUUAUGGAAUUAUAACCGGAGAUGGAUGCAUUUGCUCUGCGUUCUAGUUUUGGUCAAUCCAAGUUUGGCGUUUUUGCAGAUUCAAUCAUAUUUAGCAUUGAGGAUGGACUUCUUGUGGUUCACAUUAAACGUAGACAUUUUCAUUCCAUGCUGAAAACCUAAAUGUUUAUUUUACACACAUUUGAGGUGUGAAGGAACUUUAGUUCAAGAGGAGAAUGGAGAGAGGAAUUCAUGAGCCAGGGUUCGUUGUGCCUGGAUGACUUUCUGGAGGGACCGCCCCCUCAGAGCGAAUUCAGGAUGGAAAAUGAACGGCUCGGGCCUCCAUCUUCUGAACUUUUCUACAGUUUUUUUCAGGUUUGUACGUUGUGAAUUCCACAAAAAUUAUGCUCUUACAUCAAACAAAGUUCAACUCAACAUGACGCAAGUUUGAAGUUUGUUGUUGACGGACUUUAGCGUGCUAUACGGACUUAGAUGAGAGCUAAAAAUAGCGUUGCCGCUCAGCGCGGGAGGUGAUCAUCCUAAAACCUGUGCAGGUUAUAACUCUAACAUCCCCCAAUAUCUGAGUUUGAUGAGUUUUUUUGAUGUGAAAAAAGAUGUUUAUACGAUUCAGAAGUACAGUUAUUUAAGUAUUUUGUUGAAGUGAAAAGUAUUGUUCCUGAGCCUUGUAGAUCAAAACGAAACUGUUACUUAGAUUAAGAAAUGUUUCCUCUGCAGGACGUCUAAUAUUUUUGAUUAAAUCAGUCUUAUAUUGCUGUAAGCACUUUAAAGGGCAGGUUGACUGUUUUCUAGCAUCCUAUUAAUUUAUAUAAACUAAUGUCUGAUUUAAUGAGACCCAAAGAAGUGGUUUACCACUCAGUAUUAAAUUUUGAAAAGUUGCAUUCUGCCUUUAAAAUGAAUACUUAAUGAAUGUUAAAAAAGGAGAGACACCAUAUGAAGUGGACUUUAUUAAAAUGGGUAAAGGGUAAAACUCACCUGUGAAUCCUGUAACAUUAUCAACUCAAAGCAUCAUUGCGGUCAACAUGGUUGUCCAGUUUGAUGCAUGGUUGGUGAGGGUUAGGUUUGCGUCUUUAGCAGAGCAGGAUUUACGCUCCUCCACUCUCCUUCCUCCUGAUGGAAAACUGAGCGUCACAGAUCGGUCUGUGCGAUUGUGCGUUUGUGUUUCAUGAACGAUGACAGCUGUGUUCGCCGGGGCAUGUGCAGGUGAGGGUUCAACUGUGGUCCACGUAUUUCCUGUGGGUUUCAGGGGUUACUCUCAGCCUGAGGAUGAAGCUCAGAAGAGCAGAGAUGGACUAACCACAGAUCUGGUGGAGGUCUGACAUCCUGCUUCCACCAAGAGUAUGGUUAAUUUUAAUGUCCACAAUGUCCUGUUUGAUAUUUUCUUUUAAUAAUUUGUGAAUAAAUUAUUAUUCAAGUGGAUCUUGAAAGCCUACAAUGCCUUUAGAGUUUGAUGUGCUUGAAAUGACUCUAAUCCCUGAAGAUGUUUCCAGGCCAUGUUUCACAUGAAGAGGGAGCUUCCAGGCAUCUUUGUCACUAUGAGGAGAAAUUAAACUCAGUGGCUUUAAUUUAUUUGGUAAGUUAUUCUUGCAUGUAAUGACAGGCGGCGUUUCAGAGAGAGAGAGAGAGAGGAGGGAGCAGAAAGAAAAUGAGAUAAGGAAAGAAUGAGCGAGAUGACCUGCAGACAUCCUGCAUCUUCAACAGCCCCUCAUAUUUCAGAAGAAGCGCCUCACCUAACAGCACGCUUAAUUACCCAUGACUGUUCACAGCUCCAUAAUUAACAUCCUCAUAGAUUUCAGCAGCAGAUGCAGAGUCCUAACAGGUCAAGGCUUUGUGCUCAGGUGAGGGGAGGUCUUUGCAGGAGCUCCUUUACCUGCAGGGUGAGAAGAGAGGCGGUUAACUUGCCUAAGGGGUAAUUUAUCGAGUAGAGGAGGAGGAGGAGGAGGAGGACGGGUUCAAGAACAGCUGAUAGAUAAAUUUAGUGGAUGAUGAAGUAGACGGCAACCUCACCAUCCACCCAACGAAAAUACGACUCCACCAGAUAAAAACAGGACGUUAUGAAGUCCAGCUUCGAGCUUAUUACUAUAAUUAUAGUAAUAAUACAUUUAUUUAAGGCUAUGAGAGCGGGAAAAAGGAGCACGCUGAUCAUAAAACGUGACAAUAGAUAAGAUGAAGUUUUAGAAAGAGAAAAGUUUGACGUCUUUUCAGAUUCUGGGGUCUGUGGCGCCCUCCGAUGGUUGGGAGGGCAUCAACAGAUUAGUGGCUGUUGAGGUGGACGUCUUGGCCGGAGAAGGAUGUGGCGGUUCAAUCAAAGAAAGUGUUGAUCAAAGAUCUGUCUCUCCAGAUGGUUAGUGUUAAUGUAGGUGGCUUGACUGUAGCAGAGGUUGUGUCCACUUUGAGGUACAGUUGGGUGUCAUCGGCGUAGCGAUGGAUAGAUAUUCUACGUUAGCUGAUGACAUGGGCGAGAAUUUAGAGAGUGCAGAGGUUGGGGCCAAGGACCGUUCUUUGGGGAACCCCACAUGUGACAGGAUGUGUCCUAAACUUAAGUCAUUAAGUUAUUAGGUUAAGUUAUUUAAACUUCAAGUUAGGACAGGUUCAGGCUUGCUGCUAAAGGUCUAGACUGUCAGGGGUACGAGUACACUGAGCAUCUUCAUCUCUUUCUCUGUCCUCGGUCAGGCCGUGUUACUGACUUUGGAUCAUCAUGUCCCAUUAGAGUCACUCAUACACAGUCUAUUCUGGGAGUUUUUAAUGACUCAUCCAGUUUAAUGGAUCCUAAAUUAAGAGUUGUGCACAAUAAGGAAUACAGCUGUUUGCUGGUUUAUUUGAUGUGCUUUACAAAGUGCCUAAAAUAAGAUGUAAUCCAGAAACGUUCAAAAGCUCCUAACCUUCUGUCAGGAUCUCUUUCUAUAUCCAUCUAGAAGCUCUUGUGUAUCAUAAUAAAUCCCAUAAUUCAUUCAUUACUGCCUGAGGCUGUGAUUCCUCUGGCAGGGAUGCCCGGAGGCCACGAGCCGAACACGGUUUCCUUCUCACCCCUGCAGUCAAAGUGCAUCAUCUGGAGUGACCGGGACACAAAGUGGAACACCACAUCCCUGAUUUCCCAACAUGCUGAGAACAAAGUCCCAAUCUCACUAACUAAGAGACUAAUUGGCACACAGACAUGGUGUGAAAUAUGUUGUCAGUGGAAAAAGGCACGCCAAACAGAGGAGUUGACCUACAUCAGCUGUUGCCUGGGACUUUAGCGGUGAUCUCUGUGGCUGCCAGCGGACACAGGUGGAGCUGAGCUGGAGAUCUGACUCUAAUUAGGAAGACGAGGACAGUUUCCGUGAAUCCGUCACGACGGCUCAUCAGCUGAACGACCACCAAUCAGGAAAUAACCAUCAGUCUAUCCGUCUAUCGCUACCAUCCAUCUAUCCACAGCCCAACAGAGCUCAGACUUUUGAUUAACGGUCCAGCUCUGGGUCAGAGUCUAGUAAUUGGCGACUGACUUUGGGUACUUUUUCAGUCUUUUUUUCCAACCUUAACUGACCGACAGAGCUCUGGCUCAAGUGGGUGCACAACCACGACUGCAGCUUUGCCAUGUCUUCUGAGUUAGUGUCAAAAUUAGAGCUGGGAUCACAUUCAGCACAUUUUUUUUCCAGCAGAUAUGAGUCACAUAACCCCGGAGGAGAGAGCGUAAACAGAGGCUGCGAUAGUUUGUUGGUGUUAGUUGGUGAUUCUUCGGCUGAUUUCAGGAGACUGGUGAUUUAAUCAGCCGUGCUCUCUGCCCCUUACUUAUCUUGUCUUAUCAUAUUACUCCAGUAGAUGACCUGCUAUAACCCGUUUUAUCAUAAUCAAACGUUCCCUAAAAAGUCAGACUAACUUCUUCUUUGAUUUACUUUACCUGCUGUUCAAUCCUUACCCUGCCCAGACACGUUUCACCCUCAAAGUCCAGUUUGAAGAUGAAACGAGUCAUAAAGAUAUGUGCUCCUUAGUUUCUUAAAAACUUAGGUGAAUAUGACUUCUAUACAGGCAGGUGAAGAGGAAUCAAGGAUUAAACAGAGCCCAAUAUGCAUGAAUAAAACAGCACAAUGACUGUAUUUGUCAGCAUGAUGUCUCACACUGGGAACAGCAGGGGCUCUGUUACUCAUACUGGAUUUAUGAAUGGAAAAUUACCCAUUGAAAACUAACGUCUUGUCUUAAGAGUUGGUCUGGUAAAUGACAGUAUCACGAGCAUAGACAUGAAUGUGACACAUUUGUCAGAGAUCGUCAAUCAUAAUGGGAAAAAGGAAGUGGGCCUAGAGUAGAGCCUUGUGGCACACCUAAAUAAUCAACUGUAUAGCUGGACUGAGGAUUGUGAUAUAACCCAGUUGGUCGAGUUAACGUCAGUAUCAUCAGCAUAGACAUAAAAGUGACAGUUUGAACACAAUCAUGGUAAAUCCUCUGGAGUGAUGAGAAACAAAAAAGGAAGUGGGCCUACAGUAGAGCCUUGUGGGACACCUAAAUAAUUAAGUAUAAGGCUGGACUGAGUUUGUGAUAAAUCAGACUUAUACAGGUUUAUAACAGUAUCUUAAGCAUAGAGGUGAUUGUGACAGUUUGAAAACACUUCUGAUGGAUCAUUAAUAAAUGUUAAAAAGAGAAGGUGAAGUGGGCCUAGAGUAGAGCCUUGUGGGACACCUAAAUAAACGACUGUAUAGCUGGACUGAGGAUCGUAAUAUAACCCAGUUGGUUGAGUCAACGUCAGUAUCAUCAGCAUAGACAUGAAUGUGACAGAGAUGGGCCUUGAGUAGAGCCCUGUGGGACACCUUAAAAAAAUAAACAAGUAUACGGCCAGACUGAGUUUUUGACAAAUCAGAGUUAGACAGGUUAAUGACAGAAUCAUCAGCAUAGAGGUGAAUGUGACCAUUUUAACACAUUUGUCGAAGAUUCUCUACAGUGGAAAAAAAGAGUGAUGGUGUAGUCUGAACUCUAUGUAAAUUCAUCUUUAGUCAUUUUAUGCUUAAAUAAAUACUGCUGCCCACAAUAUCCGAUCCUCUUGAUUAUCUUCAUCAAAGCUCCAGAUUUCCAUCACAAACCCCUCGCUGUUUUCAAAGCCCUUACAUGUGAUUUCUAACCUGAUCCCUCUCCAGUCGUGUUAAUAAUUUCUCGUGUUCCUCCAGCUGAUCAACCAGAACAAUCAGAGAUAUUGUGAAGUGAGGAAAAAAAAUCAUAUUUGUUUUUCAUUCACCCAUAAACUGAUAUACGGACGCGAUGAAAUCACCAGAGACGGGGUUGUAAUUCCAUCCAGCACCUGCGCCUGAUCCUCCAAUAAUACAUAUCUGUGCAUAUUAUCUGUCACGGGAGGAAAAUCCCUGCAAGUGUCAUGAAACUGAUUUGAUUUUUAACUGUGGCUGUGUAUUCUGCAGAAUGAUAAUGCAGAGAGGCAAGCUGUUCCAUAUAAUGCGUAAUCGUGUUUUACCUUUCUGACAAAAGCUGACAUUAGACGUGGGGGUUAUCACUGAUGAUCCUCUGUUAUUGUAUUUCAUGGCUUCAGGCACAGCACAAGCAAAGAGCGACAGUGAAGGAAGGAAAGAAGAAACGGAAGGUUGUUACUCUGUGAAUAAUGCAUUUUUUGUACAUUUCCCUGUGCUGAGUGUUGCCUUGCAGACAGUAAUCACUUCAUGUUUUCCUCUGCUGAUAACAGAAGCUGCAUCAUUGUGAGAGAUAGGGAUGUGAAUACACAAUGUUCAAUCUAAGUAAAUGUAUUUAUUCUUGCUCAGUUUGUUAAGAAAUAGAUAUGUUGGAUCUGAAAAGACGAGGAAACCUUUGGAGGAUGUUUGGGUGUCAUGGGCAGGUGCAGAAAGGUAUUUUAAGGUCAGUCCUGAAUCAGAGGCAGUUUGGGUGAUUCAAAGCGGUUUGAAUAGGGAUCAUAAAUCACACAUGCCCUUAGGAGGGUUCAUUACCUUGAAAAUAAAGCUUUUACCGCUGAUUGCAUUCUGUAGCUUGUGCAGCUCCUGUGACCAAACAGGAGUCCGAAAAAAAAAACCCUCCUGCUUCAUCUUUGUUGUUCUCAAUGAGAUUAGUGUCUUAAGAUGUAAAAGCAGGAUAAUACAACGCUGAAAUACAUGAUUCUUCCCCUUCAGUCAUUGCCUGGUUAACAUUCACACUGAGUGCUGUUUCUGCAAAGUCAUUUCUCAAAUGCCACGAACAAUGGCACAGUGAUAACAGAUGUGAUGCACAGCCUGUGUUAGUAUGCUGCAUGGAAAAUAGCAAAGAAGACAGCAAGGUGAUUCCAGCAUUAAAACUCCUCACCUCCCGUCUUCUCCCCCCUCUCUCUCUCUCUGUCCUGUCUCUUCUUCAACAGUCCAGCCUCCCACUUAAAAAUCACAAGGCGAUCGCUGACGUCUGUGCUCUCAGUAACGUAUCAGUGUUGUCUCAAUAGCUACAAAUCAAUCUGUGCUCGGACAGCCUCUGCAAUGCAGGCACAGGGCUCCCGCUUGGCCGAGGCGUCGGGAGCAGUUUGCUGGCUGAGCUGCCCUGCAUGUCUGUCAGGAGAGGAGGGGAGGGCGCCGUCAAAUAGAGGAAAACAAAAGGGAACGGAGCUAUAUUUGCAUUCAUCUUCACUAAUUCAAUACUGUUCCCAAACUCACUCGUCACAGACCCUUCAAACCAGAGGCGACGAGUAAUGGAGGUUUUUAUUUAUCUAUUUUUGUUGGUGUGCGAUGAAAAUAUUAUCAACACUGGAGGAAACUAAAGAAAGAGAAUUAAUAAUAGUUAAAGAUGUGAAGUCAGACGGUCCGUCUUUAUGAUGACGAUGUGACGUUAUUUCUAAGCUGGCAGCCAAACUGCUGAUAAAUGCCGAUGAUGCUACAACACAGAAAGAGCGACUUACGCCUGAUGACGAUGAUGUUGGCGAUGAGGUCAAUCUGGAGAAAGAUUGUAAAAAUUUGACGUUAAUCUAAAAAUGAGUCUGCCCUUUAAGAAGCUCCGCCCCCAACUUCAAGGACAAGGAUGUGGAAAUGGUGGCUAAAGUGAGACAGACUCCUCAGAGACCCAAAGGAGUGAGCGGCCCCCGAUGAGCCUCUGCUCUGUUAUAGUUGUUCUUCAUCAGAAUAUAUAGCUCUAACUCUUCAGCUGGAGAAACAUCAAGAUUAAGUAGAUCCAGAACAUCAGUCAGAUUUAUAAUAUUACAGCACCAGCUUCUAAGACAAGAUCUGCUAAUGAUUUGAAAACUUGAUGUUUAUCAGUCGCAUUCAUUGUUAUUUAUUCAUAAAAACUCAUUUUGUGUAAAUGACGAGGCUGUGUGUUAAAAUACCACUGAGUCAAGGAGCUGUAUUCAAAAUAAUGUAAAAAUAAUGUAAAAGUGCUUUUAUAUACUUCAAAUACAACAAAUAAAUGUAAAACAGACAAGAAAAAUAAACUCUCUUCUUCCCUGACUUUUCAUUUGAAUUAAAACAAUACUUAAAAACUUUUAAAUUAAUUGACAGUAAACCAAGAAAGACCAUUAAAUUUUUUUAAGUGAGGAUCUUGCAGAAGGAUAAAAUUUGAACAUCUGAGAUUCAUUUGUUAAUUGUCCAAUUUUGCAACAUCACAUAUCUCAAUUACUUGUUUAAAUAUUUAUUUAUUUUUCUUUCUCCUUCUGAACAUUUAUUCAAUAUUGGUUUAUGAUAUAUUUUUUGUUCUAUUCAUUUAAAAAAAAAAAAAAGCCACCGCUAGGCGAAGCAGACUGGUCCGAUGCAUACUGUUAAAUUUGCCCGAAUCAUUAACGUCAUCUGGGUAUUUUUGUCACACUGCAGCUUUAGCAUCGUUCACAUACUGCAUACUACAUUUUGGACAAAUCAGUACAUACUGUUAGUUUAUUAGGCGAAUCUGAAAACAGUCACAGAUUUUAUCAUUUUAAUAACUUUUUUAUGUUUAUUUUGUCUUUUUUUUUUUUUUUUUUUUUUAAACCCAAAUAACAGAAAAACAACAUAUUUCUUUGUCCCUGUUGGUCCGUGUAAAACAGCAAAGCUGGCCAUCAAUGCAAGAAAUAUAUAAUUUUAAAGGAAAUGCACUUUUAAUGAUGGUAAUCAAACUGAAUAAAUUAAUUACAGUGAUCUAAAAUCACAAUACAGAAUGAAAAUGUGCAGCCAAUUCAUUUAUUUUGAUUUAUUACCAAGAAAACAUAUGCGAGAACUGUUCAUUAUAAAGAGUUAAAAAUCAAUCUUUAAGUGCAACAGAAUGACUUUAAUCAGCGAGCGCUGUAAUGGUAAACAUUAGAAAUGAAUGAGGGUGCGAAAAUCAGCAAAGCCAUCUUUUCCUGUAUGUAUAAGGAGCUGUAGUGACACUGAGUGCCUCUGCAGUGGUCCUCCAGUCAGCACACUUUCAAUCACAGAGCAGAAAAUCCGUCACAUCAGCUGCUGCAGAGAUCAGUCCUGAUGAAAAAGCUGCCAACUCUCUGAUCUGUGCACGACUUGAACAAGAAUCACCGCGAACCGUCCAAGUGUCAAAGUUUUUAUUAAACUAACUCGGCUUCUGAAUUACACCUGAAGUUUAACAUAAUGAGGCAGAGAUCAGCUCCUGUCAGGUGGAGGUGGAGGAUGAGAGACCAUCUCAUCCCCGUCAAUUUUUGGACACGUGCGCGGCGAUUAGUCGUUGAAAUCAUGAGGUUGAAAAAGUCAUCUGGAGGAUAGAGUUCGGUGGUAAAACACAGCAGUGAUCAGCAGUAAUGUCUGAACAGGAGAAGAUGUUUCAGAAUAAGAUACAAACACAAGGUCUGGAAAGAGUUUUAAAGACAGACUUUACUUUUAAAAUAUAAACAAAAUUUAAAGCCUAUAUGAUACACUGGGACAGGAUUUAGUACAAACCCCAAUUCCAGUGAAGUUUGAGUACAAUGUGAAUGAAACCAGAAUACAAUGAUUUGCUAAUCUUUGUCUUCUUAUAUCCAAUAACACGACAAAGACAUAAUAUUUAAUGUUCAAACUGAUUAAGUUGAGUUUUUUUUAAGUAUUCAUUCUUUUUGAAUUUGAUGGCUGUAACACGAUCCCAAAAAAGGUGUCAACAGAAGUCUGGGAGAAUUGAGGGCAGCUCCAAAAACACCUGUUUGGAUCAUUCUACAGGUGAACACGUUUAAACAGGUGAGAGUCAUGAUCGGGUAUAAAAGGAGCUUCACAAGCGAGGACGGGGCCCGGUUCACCACUUUGUCAACAACUGCGUGAGCAAACAGUCCAACAGUUUAACAACGUUUGAGGAAUUCAGUGAUCUGAUCAUCUACAGUCCAGCAUAGCGUCAAAAGAUUCAGAGAAAUCUCUGCAUGUAAGCAGCAAGACCCAAACCAACACUGAGGGCCUGUGACCUUUGACCCCUCAGGUGACACUGCAUUAAAACAGUUGGUCCCUACAUCUACAAGUUCAAACUCAAGGAUGCAAAAACAAAACCAGAUUUUAACAACAGCCUCUGAGACGGACUGACAAGUCCACAUUUCUAACUGUUUUUGUAAAUCCUGGACAUACAGAGGAAAAAGACCAUCCAGACUAGAGUUGGGCGGUAUGACGGUAUAAAAGUGUCUACAAGUAGAAAUGUUGAGGAAAAGAGCUCAGAUUCAGACCGGAAAAACAGCCUCCUUCAGAGUAAAAGGUUCGACUGAAUAAAUAAGAUCUGCGCUCCAACUCUCCAACAUCAACUGCAGAUUACAGGGAUCAAGACAGAUUUGUUUGCGCUGAUGGAAAAUGCAGCUUUUGAUCCUUUUCUUCACGUUCAGACACGAGCACCCUGUGGAGUUACCCAGUAACAGGAAGUAAACUUUCUUAAUGUUAGAGGCAGACGACAUCUCCGGGGCUACAGUCAAACUUUUAAUACGCCAAAUCUGUCCAAAAACAAAGCUGUGGGAGGAAAUGGAGUGUCUGUGAUGACUCUCCAGAUGAUAAAGUAAUAAUAUGUUCUCAUGAAGCAGCGGCCUCAGGCACAGCUAAAUGUCUUCUGCAGGGUCUCAGGGUAAAAACCAGAUUUCUCAUUUGGUUCCCCGCUGAAAAGCCUUAAAAAGACAAAUGCACAGCUCAGGGCGACCUGCAGCAGCUCCAGGACCGUCUCGUAAGAGUGCAGAGUCACCGUGCCGGGCUCUGUACAGUCAGGUCUGAUCCAUCUCUGCUCAUUUAGUUGUUUCUCUGUGACUUUAGAAGUUCCUCAGGGGAAGGGUUUGUCAUUAGACCCAAAGCAGCCGCUACAUGAGACACACAAAUAAGACGUCCUCAAUGUAACACUGCGACAAAAUUCAAUAAACACACUUCUCUGCUUUCGUACCUGGUCCUUAAACUCAACUUUAAAUGUCUCAUAUAAAACAUCGAAGUCAAGGCCAGGUGGUUUUUUGUGGUAAAUUGUGUCUUCAAGAUCACAGAAGAAAUGAAAUUAAGGUAUUUUAACAAUUCUGGUAUUUUCUCUCACAAUAAGCAGGUAAACACGGAUGAAAUAUGGAGCUGAAUCAGAGAUCUAAAGCCUUUUGUUUCAACUGCCUCCAAGUGCAAAAAGAAUAAAGUUGCAUUGCAUAAGUAAUGUGCAAGAUUUACAUGGAUGUUUUUGAAUCUUUCUUCUGCGAAACACACAAACGGAAUAAACAUAAAACAUGAUAAAAUGGUCUUUAACGCGACUAUUAACGGACCAAAAUAAUAAACACAGUCAGAGUUAUGAGCAGGCACUUUCCUCAUCUUUUAUUUUGUCAUUUGGGUGAUUACAGACUGACCAGGCAGUAACACGAGUUCAAGUCCGAGGUCGAGUCAUUGAGGGUGAAAAAUGACCUCUCCAUCUGCAGCCUCGCACUGUCCAUAAAAGCACAGAGGGCCUAAUAAGUUCGCAUUAAAACAUUACUCAUGUUGUGCUGCCUGACAGAGAGGCUAUGACCUUAAUCUACGACCAGAGGUCACACACACACACACACAAAUGCACACACACACACAAGCGCUGUGCAAAAACUCAUUCCACACUCAAUAAAUGCUUGUGCGGCCAGGCAGACAAACGCUUUCACAAUUUAACCUGUCACAAAUGGUUUUGUUGGGGCUAAACAACCUCUCUGCAGCUGUGCUCCACCCUGGCAGCCAGCUGGAGCUUUGGACCAACCAUCCAUCGACUUUGUUCGAAAGUGACUUCAACAUAUUGCACGUUGCACGUUCCACCUCUGUGACCCCUUGGCUGAGGACAAACCACGGUACGGCGGCGUUUCUGCUACGACUUCAUCUCAGCUCGAUGCAUCUGCUGUGACAAAUGUCUGUUUGCAGUUCUCUGUCACGGCGCUUUAUUAAAAGAUCCUGUUCUCUGCAGAGGAGGAAGUGAUCAGGCUUCAGUGUUUGGCUUUGUUGUCACUUCAUUAUGCAUCAUUCACCCCCUCAGUACCUGCAUCGUGUCACCGGGAGAAGUCACCAAUCAGAGGCGCUCUUGCAUUACUGACAUCUUGUUUGCUUCAAUAAAUUCACACAUGUUUGAAAAGUGAGAGAUAAACUGUACAUGUUUGACUUUUCUGCACAAAAAACUCAACGAGAGCAAAAAUGUUCCCGCUCAGGAUGUGCAGGUCCAGAACUCAACUCUUGGCUCGGAGCGUGUGCACAUUUGGCAGCAGAAUCUGAAUGUUUGGGUCAUGAAUACUACAGGAUAAAUCCAAUGCAGAGGCGUAAACCAGACCAGACACUUCGUACAUGUGCACAACCACCCUGAUCACAGCAACAGCAGCAACAUUAGAAACUCUUCAGGGAGGAAGUUCGAACCCAAACCAACAAACCAAACAACAAAUUCAGGCAAAAAUGGACGGACAGAACUUUUGAUUGGAGGAAACGAUUCAGGAAUCACAGAAAAUCCGCACAUCUUAAAAAACGUAUCCACUUGUUUAAGACGUAAAAAUACCAGCAGCUCUUCCCAUGGUCGACUUUAAAGGGAUAUUCCGGCAUAGAAUUAAGUUAGGGUUACAGUGGGGUGCCGCAGCUCAAGGAAGAACAUUUAUGAUCAUUUCUUUAUGGAAAUACAAUCAGACCGAGACGCUAAGGCAGAAAAACGACUGCGUCUGCAGUUCAAAAUGAUUAAUUUGUUGAUUAUUGAUCAUAAAUGUUCUUCCUUGAGCUGCAUCACCCCGCUGUAGUCCGUAAUGGACUGACCUGAGGUCUCUUGGCUGCUGGAAGAGAGAAGGUGAGUUGUGUUUAGUCUCUUUGCUAAAGAAAUGAGUCAAAGCUAAAAAGAUGUUUGGUGUCUAGUACUAUGUCUGUGACCCUAUAUGUCCUGUUGAUGAAGUUAGGUGCUGUUCUGAGCAUUAUUUGUGGCUGUAGAGUGGCGUUUUGGUUGAGCGCGUGGCUCUCUGUAUUGCUAUCCUGUGGUCGUUACUAAAGUUGGUAUAACUAGAGAAGCAAGUGGUCGGCAACAUUCAUCUCUCGUCGGGGUGUCUAACUCGGUGUUACGGUGUGUUUGACCCUAAAUUAAUAUCCCUUUAAGAAGAAAUAAUCACAGCAGCUCUCCCCAUGGUUGACUAACAUGUUUGUGUCGAUAGGAUCGGAUCAUGUAUAGGGUGCAGGUAGAGUCAAAUACUGUGCGUGUGUAGGCUAUAGUGGACUGCUGAAUAUUACAUGUGAUGUCAAAGUGUAUAUAGAACAAGCCGAGAAUAACCUGGUCACUGCAUGUGCUGACAUUGACGUCUCUGGGGCUUCAGAAAGAGACAGGUCUGCAUCCCCAGAGAGAGGCUGUGUGAUCGGUUGGUGUGAGCUGUAUUUGUGAGUAUAUAUACUGUGUGUGCUUACUGUAUAUAUACAUGCACAUCCAUGGGAUCAUUUGUUUCCCUUUGCCUGCCUGAAUGUGUUGGCAGCUUCCAGGAACAGUAUAAGUGGAGUCAGUGGGGACUGAGGUGACAUGAAGACCACAUCAGCAGAUGAUGGCAAACAGAAACUAAAAGCUCUUAGAGAAGCUUCAUAAAUCCAAGUUUGGUUCCGUUAUGUGGGCGGUCUGACAGAGUCAGGUGUUUCAAUAAAAAUACACAUACUGGGCUGGACGGUCUCAGUAACUGAGAAGCUCUUUUUUAUUCAACAUACAGUAUAAGAGUCUCUGCUUUCACAUGAUUGGUCCACAAGGUAAAUACACGGAAAUAUGUUUCACUACAACACCGCCUGUGUGAGCAGUGGGAUCCAGACGUGACGGGAGUUUUCUCUAACUUAAGAUAAAUAUUUUAGAGUUAAUGAUAAGAUAAAUAUGCAAAUUAAAAAAUGACUUCGUUUGACAAGAAACACUUCUGUUACAGACACUUGUCUUACUUUGUUAAAGCGGUUUACCUGUCCAGCAGAAAGGUUACAGGGUCACCAAGAUCCCCAAGCGUCCCCCAUCGUUUAUGUUGACCCGGCUUUUUAGCUCUUGUCCGGUCUACCUCCGUUUUACCUCACCUUUAACAAUACUCCAGUUUUAGAUGAGAUCUUUGCAGGAGAAGACAAGAGCUAAGGAGCUUGGACCUGAUCUUGGAUUAUGUGGACUGGGAUGAUGCAGAGGACUUCAAACGCUCUCUAAUGUUGUCUUGUUAGUUAGUCAGGUUAUUUCAUGAUUUUAAUCGUUUCCACAUUAGAGGCGCUGACAGAUUCUUCAACAUCCCAGACACAUAGAUGUUAAUUUUCAGUCAUGCAUUCAACGCUGUAUGUUACCUGAUCGUCACUUCCUACAAACAUGUUUCUCACAGCGCCUUCAUUCCAAAGAUACCAAAGCUCAGCCCCUCUCUGGCUCCGGUGUCAUCCAGCCUCUCUCAGUAAUCAAUAGCCGUCCUCUUCAACACGCCGGCCCGUUAUUUAUGUCUGCCUCUGGACUUUAUGUGGAUAGGUCAGAGUGAGCGCUGUCCUGAAACAGCUUACUGCAGCACUCCAGCCCAUGCACAGGGGGGAAAUUUAUUUUUCUCAUUACGUAUGCGGCAUUGAGUCCAAAGUUUAGGAGUCCAUUGAUUGCCAUUGCUGGGGCGCUAGCUUGUCACGUCUAAUGUGUGAGGUGUGUGGGUCUGCUGGAGUGUGUGAAGUCUUAAUGGUCUCUUUGGAGAAGUGAGAACACGGAGUUUACCUCAUGCUGUAUUAAUGCAGCUUCACAGGCGAGUGCAGACUCUGGAAGUUAAUUAAUGUCAGGUCUGGGUAAUAGUUUUCUGAACUUUUAAAGUGAUAAUGCAAAAGCUCAAGCAGGCAAUAUUUGGAAACGCAUCCACUCGCGUUAUUGUGGGGAAAGUUAUAAAUCAUUUGACAUCGAUUUCUGGCAGCAGCCUGAGAGAGAGGAGCGCAUCCUGAAAAUCCAGACAGAGAUCAAAGAUUUCGUCUAUCCUGACGUCGACUUUUUAGACUUUCCAAUAAACUCCCUUUGGCAUUUUUGAUACGAAUGUGUGAUUCACUAAAAUUCAUCCUCUACCGCCGACCUCUUCUACUCUGCAGAUUUGUGACUGUCUGUCAUCAGGCCAAAUCUGAUUAAAGGGAUAGUUCUGCAUUUUUAAAGAGGGUUGUAUAAGUUACACAUGACUAGGAAGUGUAUGGCUAGGCUACAGUUGUCCUCAGAUAGAGCAGUCUCUGACUCAAAGCUGGGUUACUCAAGUAUUUUGAUACGACAACACUUCACAGUAUUUUUGAACCGUCUUUUAUUAUUUUCACUGGAAGUUUUCCUCAAUUUUUAUUGCCUGGUAUGUUUUUUCGACCUUUGUGUGGACUGCCUUUCUGCCAAAAUGAGCUUCAUAAAUAAACCUCUGUGACCUCAAACUUAGAGGUCAAUCAACAAAUCGAUUAAUCUUUACUUAUAAAGCGCCAACUCACAACAAGUGUUAUCUCAACUCACUGCCAUCCCAUCUCCAACCACAUGAGUGAAAAAAAAUAAGUGUUUAUCAAGUUAAAGCGGCGAAGAAGAACUUCCUUUACCAGGCAGAAACCUCGAGGAGGACCAGACUGAUGUUAGGCCGUCAUCUGCUGAGACUGAACUGGGUUUAGAGAAGAGAGAGAGAGACUCACAGACUCUACAGUCUUUUACCCUUCAGAAUAGGGCUGGGAAUCUCAGGGUACCUCAAGAUAUGAUACGCGAUACAUGGCUCACGAUAACGAUAAUAUCUCGAUAUGGCGAGACUGCGAUUAUCAAUACAUAACCUAUGAUACAUCUGUGUAUUUAUAAGGGUGAAAGAAAAAUAAAAUACAUUUCAUGGUUUAUAAUUUGCAGCAUAGUUUUUUCAGUGAGCAUAGUUUUUUACGGCUGGGUAACUCGUAUCUUGGCUCGAGUACCCCCAUCAUGAAGCAAAACCUCUCAUUUUCCACAAUGCUGUACAGAAAAAGGUCCUUACAAAUAUACACAGAAAUGAUAUGUGCAAUUGCUGUAGCUCUGGUUGAACUAAAAAGAAGCUCUGUCUGAAAGAAAGAGUCAAAAGUUAGCUGUACCGAGGAGCUAACAGGUACAGUUUUCUCUGCAAGCUCAGGACGGCGGUGAACGAGGAGGCUGGACAUGUUCGUUCGUCUGUGUCACAAAUUUUUGAGAGAUGCUUCUUGCAUACUGCAGAGUGCUUUUCCAGCUUAGUCCCGUCCACACUAUAAAGGCCAAAGUGUGUCCAUACUCUUGAUUUAGACAAAGCCGGUGCAUCCUUCAGUCUAACUUCACCGCUCCCAGAGUCCGCCAUAUUUUCUCUGUUUGUUUUUUCUGACUUCGGCCCAAUAUUCACUCACUCACACCAGGAGCGCCUCCUGGAUGACAUGUAAUACGGUGACUUGAAUCACUGUGGUUUAAUGAUAAUACAAAAAAAAAUUAUACGCAGCGAGCGUGCAUCAAUAAUCCAUCGUUAUGUUAAAUAUCACAGUAGUUUGCCAUAUUGAUAUUUUAUCACACUCCUACUUCAGACCAUCCCACUCUGUUGACCCUGAGUCCAGCCUUGAAUCAUACUCUUAAUAAAAUGAAACUUAAUUAGCUUUAAAUUUCUGCAUUUCUAAGUUGAUCUAAUUCCUCUACGUACAACACAACAAAUUUAUUGUAUUAUUUCAACCGUGUCUGUAAUGUUUACAUUGUUUCUUGAUGAGGUUGUUCAUCAGCUGAUCCAUGCUGCUGUUUUUAAAUGUGCUUUUUAAAUAAAGUUGUCUUUUUUUCUAUGUCAGUCUGUUAUAUUGAAUUGCUAAUGUGACUGUGCAGGCGUGCAGAGUUGAAUUUCCUCAACCUCUAAUGCAGAGCAAGUGAAUUAAAUUUCUGUUUCUGCUUGAUUGUUAUGCAGCUCUCAGUCCAAAUAAUUGUAAACAGAUUUUCAAUACAAAUCAUUUCAACAAGUUCUAUUUUUAUACAUGUAUUUUUUUUUAACAUAUAUAAGGAUUAAAACAGAGAAAGGGAGAUUUAAAUUGGGUUUCUGGUGACAUAUUUCUGCCCGUAAUAGAUUCACCUCUGGAGAAACGUCCUGCUGGAUCCUGUCAGCUCUGCUUUAGUAACACAUUCAUUUGAAAGCAGCACCUGUCCUCUCUCUGCUCUCCACAACACCUCUCUCCAUCUCCCCCCUCUUCCUCCUCCAUCCUCCCAUCUUCACUGCCCUCCCCUCUCAUGUCCCGUCCUGACCUCCCAUCAUUUUCCUCUGGAGGUCCCUUCUGUCACUCCUGCUUUCCUCUUCCUCUCUCUCUCUGCGUUUCCUCCGUUUUAUACCUCCUCCUCUUCCUCCUCUGACCUCGCCUUGCAACAUCUCCUCACUCUCUCCCUUGUUAUCCCUCCUUUAUCAUUAUCUCCUCUAACUCCAUGCUUUUAUUCAUUCAUCCUUCCUCUUUAUUUCUGGUAGUCUGAUUUGAGUAUAUCUGUAUCAUCCUGUUUUUCUCUUCACCCGUUUUCUUCUCUUCUCUCUUCUUCUAUCUCCUCCUCCUCCCUCCUCUGCCCUUGCCUCAGCGAUCCUGCCAGUGACUGCAUCCUACGCAGUGUAUAAAUCACCUUUUACCACCGAGAGUCACCGCUCCCUCCGCCCGCUGGCCUCGAGAACAGUGGAGGGGGAGGAGGAGGAGGAGGAGGAGGAGGAGCGAUCAUGGUGUGGCCCAUUUGGGAAACCUCAGAACAACCUAGUCCACUUUUUUGUCUUCGUUUUCACAGGGAGACGUUUCCAUAUCUUCUACUCUUCUGAUUUUAAGGGAUGUUUAAAGUACCAGAGACUGUCUGAAAGCUGACCAGAGCCUUUCUAUGAUGUCUAAAAAUGCCACUUCAAGUCGGACAUGUGCAAACCUUUGCAUGUCAGCAUUAGAAAGACCAAUUGGUUCACCAAACAUGAGUACUUUUAUUACUUUAGGCCCAAAGCUACAAUCCUCAACUACCUGGAUGUAAAUGAACACAGAUGACAAAUGUGGCUCAAAGGGAUCUGUCAGUAAGGUUUUUUUGGGUUAAACUCAAGUAUUGCCACUUGAUUGGAGCAAAGUGUAACCAGCACAGGCAGGUGGAUGUUCACCUGCAGGAAGGACCAAAAUCUGGUGGUGCUAGCUCUGCUAGUGUUAGCAACGCUCAGUGUUCAGUCAUUUUAAAUAAACUCUUCUCAAUUUCGAUUAUUUCGAGUGCUUUUUUUAAGCUUUAUGUUGUCUUCACACAAACAAAAUUAAUGAUUCACUUUCACCACCGAAAAAGACUUUGACAGAAGUGCUAAAAUACGUGAAUUACAAAUUCGUCUGAAUUCAUCAACCUGGGAGACUCCUUUACAGAGUUAGACUCAGAUGAAGCGUCUUUUUUUACUGUCUAUGUUGACUCCCUUGUUGCUAUAGCUGUGCAGUAUUUAGAGUCUUACCUCUGCACACUGAUGUGUCCUCAUGAGCUAUGAAGUCUUUCCACAGGUCCUGUUUUGCCAAAGUAUUGGAAAUGCGCCUCUAGAAGGUUUGCAGUUUAUUAGUUAAUGUGGUUUGCAGCUCAGGCGGGUCGGCGACACCGGUUCACAGCACCUCAGAGAGGAGUUAAGUGAUGCUAUCGAUCGGAUAACUGGCAACGGAGCAGAGCUGUGAGGAGAGGACGCCUUCUGCAUGUACGGAGACCCACUCCCCAGGACAGAGCAGAGACCCUUCCCACAGUCUGAGGAGCAGAGGACAGGUUGAGCUCAAGAUUUUGUCUAAUUACUGCAGAUUUUUAUUAGCAUUUCAGGUAUGACUAAGCAGACGUCUAGUGUCAAUGUCUUGUACAAGGCUCUUUUCUCAAGUUAGUGUUGUUAAAUAUGCAACAGCUCAUCCUUUCAAAGUGAGUUUAAUUAACCCUGCGAUGACGAUAAGAGACAGAGAAGUUGAAAGAUUGUAGUUCAGGGAUUUGCAAAGUGUAAGAAAAAGGUUUUACUUUUGUUGUAUUAGGUUUGUCGCUAUAGACCGAUGAAGACGAUAACCAUCAAUUUUUUUUUUAAAUGUGAUAUUGAAAUUGCGUCAAAAUAAGAAAAUAGUGAGUUCAUAGUAUUAGUCCUUAUGCCGGCUGCCUCAUUUCUUUUCAUGUCAUCCACCCAGCUGAGCAGGUAUGUAAUGGAUAUGAGUGAUAUUGAACUUAAAAGGUGGAACAAUGUUAAAAACAGUAAAAACGGCAUAAACAGAAAAAGAGUUUGUAUUGUUGACGGUUUAAAUUCAUCUUUAAAGUGUGUUAAAUAGUAAAGUGUAAGUUUAUAUUGGUAAUUGGUUUUGAUAGUGUCAGACACUUCCGGUUUUAGCCAGCAGGGGGAGCAUGUUGCUUGCGACUCUUCAUUACACCGUGGAAUAAAAUCUAGCAACAGUUCGUUUGUCUUUCUUUCUAUUUCUACCCUUACAGGUAAGAAAAGUACAAAAAACAUACACAAAACUGUUCAUGUGGUUUUGUUUUAAUAUAUAUAUAAAUGUAUGUGAUGGGGGGUUAUAUGUAGAAUCGGUUUAGAGAGUUUAUCUUGUGUUUGUCCGAACUGCUGAUGCUAAUCUUUACAGUUCAUUACACUGUGGACUGAAAGCCAGCAACAGCGCGUUUGUCUUUCUUCCUAUUUCUCCCCUUGCAGCUCGCUGUGCAGGGGUGUAACAGUUUACAGGGUCCUUUUUCCACAGUUUCAUACUGUAAGUUUGGGGGGACACUUUUGCAUGUUAAAAGGCUUAAAAGAGCAUUUCUUUAUAUUUUCAAUAAUAUGAAAAGGCAUUAAAAGUCUUCUUAUGUUUUAUACACUCAUAGGGCUUUUAGACGGCACUCUUAGCAUGUUGGUGGGAUAUCAGGGGGAACAUUGUUAUGAAUUUUCCAGGGGAAGAGCACCAGCGAGGAUAUUUAUGGUGUUUAUGGUGUUUUAUUUACUACAGGGCCAUCCCGAACUGUUCCUCCACUCCUGUCUCUCUGUAUGAUAAAAACUGCUCUUCUGGCUCUGAGAUCUCGACGUUCUAUUUCCUCCUCUGAAAACAUAUUGUAAUUCACCCACCGGCUCCGUUCCUCCUCACAUUAGGGAAACAUUUUGCAGCAUUAAUCACUCUGUGCUGACAUUACUUUCACACCCACACUGUGGAUAAAUCGCUCCAAAGACAAAUGGAUGAUCAAAGCAGCAAGAAAACUUCCAUCUGGAGACUCACGCACUUCGGUGGCCUCCUUUGGUUUCUCUCUCUCUCUGCUGUCUCAUGGCCACCAGAGCCAAACAUCCUGGUAAUACAACACAAGACAAGCACCAGUGGUGAGAGACCAGAAAACUGAGGUGUGGAUGAAAGAUAAUGGAGAAAAAAGGAGGGAGAGAUAACAUGAAAGUGUGGCAGACAGAAAAACACUCAACAGAUCAGUGGAAAAACUCAAGAAAACAAAACAAAAACGAUGAAGUUCAACUGAAUCCUGGAAGCUGCUCAUUCACUCAGGGUAAGAAAAAGUCAGUCCCACUGAAUUUAAAUUUAGAGACUGAAUUUUCUCCAUAAAACUUGUACAACAUGCAGAUUUCCUUCAAAUAAAACAAGCUUGAAAAUAUAACAGCAACCAACAGAAUGUGGUAUGUACAAUCAUGCUGCAGAUGCCAUCAAAUUCUUUAAAAGGAAAAUUUACUGCAGAAGAAUAAAGAUGUAGAAGAAAAGACCACCGUAUUAGGCGUUUGGUUUGGUCAGAAUUUGCAGUAAACUUCCACCCAGAUCUGAGAUUUUAUAACAAAUACCUUAUUUGUUUCAGAGGACCAGAGUGGAGCACCUCGACUAAAUAACUAUGAUGGUAGUUAUGAAAAGAUGUUUUCACCAUCUUCUCUGGACGUAGGUUUGUAAAGGAACCGUUGGAUUUUUUCCACAUGCAGUCUCACACAAAUCGGUGACCACUUCACACUUCCCAUUCUGAGAGACUUGGACGCCCCGUUUGUUACUAACCUGUUGGAAAUUACCCUGUUAGUUGGGAGGUGUUCCUCCAGGUGGUUUCUCUUUUCAUUCUCAACUGUUUUAGAGUUUUGUUGUUUCUAUUCCAGCGUGUUCAAGAACUCUCUAAUUUAUGUCUUCAUUUAUAGAAGACUAACCAAGGACAAGAGUUGCAAAGUAGCCAUGGCUUAAAACCUGAAUCCCAAUGGUUGGUUGGUUCCUGGGAUUUUCUGAGACUUCCCCCACAUCAAGGUAACAAGUUAGUUAGGUAACCUUUAGCUGUCCACUAGAACCUCUUUUACAUAUCCAGAAAUCACCUACUAUUUCUCCAAAAUUCCUCAUAAAAUCUGAAAUUAGUUUACAUAUCAAACAUACUUCCUCUGAUGCCAUUGAGGUCAUCCUCAACGCCUAUGAAGGACUUGGAUCAGGACUUCAAACCUGGUCUUCAUUGCUGUUUACCUUAUUUUAAGUGUAAGCUGACCUAAGAUGCCUAAAUCUGAGCUAAAGUUAAUCUCAUGUGUGUAGUAGGAUUACAAGCAGGUUGUAUAGCUCAGCUAACACCCCCAUCAUAGUCCCAUCUGGUAUUGUCGUUUCGUGGAAAAGAGUGAAAACCUCAUUCAAACCCACAUCACAUGAGCAGCCUUUCAAGGCCUUUUAUCCCACGAAAUUUCAUGACUCUGAGUUUAACCCAAAGCUGGAGCGGAGAUAAAGACCCAGUUUAUCUGAGUUUAGAGAGAAAUGAAAUAUUCAGGGAGAUCGGUGGGAGCUUUGGCCUGUAGCUGCGCUGCAUACAGAGAAUAUAAUAAUACAAUAUUUAGAAUCUGUGAGAGUCCGCUCUAACGGCAGAUUAUGAACUGUCUUUAGAAACCGCAGGAGACCAUCAGCUCUGAUUAGCUCAGACUUCACAUUUUCUGAACUGGAGCCAAAACUAGCCGGUGGCUAUUAAACCAUCAAUGGUUUUAGUAUUCAAACUCCCACUCGACCCACAACCCGCCCGCCCACCCGCCCGCCAACUCGGUGUGAGACUGUGUAAUUGCGCUGUAUAUCACCAGUGAAAGCCAGGCAAUCAGAAGAACCAUGAAACGGCUCUCAGUUUCAUUGUGGUUUCAUUCAGAUGGCUGCUUUUUGUUUUUCAUUGCUCUCUUGCAGGCAGCAUUCUCACUAAUUACACAACAGGCCCAGCCUGAGGUCUCUGUUUGACUGUCAUACCAUCUGGAAUACCCUUCAAUAAAGAGUCUGCUGCCAUUUCAUUGUAGGGUUUGAGAUAGCUUUGUCGCAGUACAAUGAGCCCAAUGAAGACAUAUUUCUCAGGAUGUUGUGGGAAUCAAGACUUUGUGGAAACUAUAAAGCUUUCCUUUAUUUCUCUGUUUAUCUCCACUUCCCUCUCGCUUGGCUGACACGUGAUUCUUCCUGGGCUCAUCAGGGUUGACUCAGAGGUGGACUUAACACAAAUCCAGUAAAGAGGUUAGCAGCCAACAUCUCCAAACUAAAGGCUGACACCCCCAUCCCAAAGUCCAUGUCUCUAAAUCUAAAGGUUAGCAGUCACUGUCCACCAUCUAAAGGUAUGAGAAGACCAGGACUCAGUCAAAGGGUUGGCAGUCGUUGUCUCCAAGGUUUGGGGGUCAUCAUCUCCCAGUCCAAAAGAUCAGUGGUCACUGUCUUCACUAGCCCCUGCAACCCGACUCCAGAGAAGCAGUAGCAGAUGGAUGGAUGUCUCCAGGUAGAGAGUUUCGUGGUCUUUGUCUCCUGGUUGAAAAUGUUGGCAGUUGUCAGCUCUUCAUCAAACGUUGGCGUCCUUUCUCGUCCAGCCAAAAGGUUGGCCGUCGUUCUUUGUUUGACAGCUUGGCUGAUAUUGUCUCCUAACAGACUGGUUGGCUGUCAUAAUCUCCUAAUUGAAAGGUUGGUGGUCAUUGUCCCCCUGUCCAAAAGCUGGCUGUCUUUGUACCUAAUUUAAGGGAGGGUGGUUAUUGGUCCACAGAGGCUGGACUAGGAUUAAAUGGAAAAAUGAGACCUUCAAAUUAAAGGUACAGGUUUAUUAGUCUUUAUGUCGUCUACACUUACACCAAAACCAAUGUUUGAGUUUUAAAAAUGCUCACAUUUAUCAUCUCUGCUGUUGUGCACAUAAGUUUAUUGGAUUUUACUCUUUAAAUUCUCAGUCAGUUAAUCUGGCACCUGCUAGAAAACUCGAAUGCCACGUUGAACCAGUUUGAAAAACAAAUAAAAACCAACCUCCAGUAUGGUCCACUUCAAUCUGCUUUGAAUUGGGUAAAUAUGCAUGAAUGAAUUGGCAAUCACAAACUGCACUAGCUUCUCUUUAAUCUAGUAAUCUUGAAGAUUUUUGAUCGCACUUUUGUCCUAAAGUCUCUCUCGAAGUGUGCAAUUGUCGUGAGCGCAGUGGGACAGUCGUGUACACGUCCCUUUUUAAAUCACUUCUGUUUAGGUUCAGGAGACCAAAGGUUGCACUAUCUGCAGUUGAGUAAAUUUUAUUUAAUGGAUAUUUAUCGGAUCAAUAUCGGUAUUGGCCGAUACUGAAGGCUACAAUAUCGGUAUGGUAUCGGAAGUAAAAAAAAUUGUAUCAGGACAGCCCUAACGAAAACUUUAAAAAGUGUUGCUUUUACUUUCAUCAGUUUUCUGUGUCGUCACCUGAAUUAAACAGUGAUCCAGAACAGGAGGAAUUAUACAAAUAUUAUUAAUAAAACAUAAAAAUAAGAGACAGGAAAGGUGAAGUGUUUCAAGGUAGACAUCAAAUACAGCAGAUAUUAAAAUGUACACCUUUCAAAACAACGGCAGUGACCUUGUUUCCACAGUAAGGGCUCAUAGAAAAUUCUGUUAGAGAGUAAACAGCCCUAAAAAAUACACAAUGCACAGAGAGAGAGAGAGCAGAAAACAACAGAGGCAGAUAAGCAGAGAGAUUUGUAGACUUCCAGCCUAAACGGUAUUUUUAAAGCUGAAGAGGAGCGAAGCGAGAGCUCACAGAGACGUAAAGGACUGUAUAUACAAAGAGUGUCUGCAGGGGAGGGAAAUGGAAAACAUCCAUUCACAGAAAAAAAAGUUUAAAAGAGAGAAAGAGAGAGAGGAGGGAGACCAGAGGGGGAAAAUGGCAGAAGAUUCAGGACAGAGUGAUGGAGGAGAGGAAAAGGGGAGAUAAAAGUGGCUGAGGGGCCCGGCUCUUUCACCAUCCAUCUCCUCUGUGCUGCAGAGAGAGAGAGAGAGAGAGAGAGAGAGAGAGAGAGAGAGAGAGAGAGAGAGAGAGAGAGAGAGAGAGGCAGUCACAGGCUCAGCCAUCAAGCACUUAUUGACAGUACUGCAGCAGCCGCACACACACACCUAUACAAUACACACACAUUAGAAUAGCAUUUACGACAGGCUUAGAGCUUCAAGGCAGCCCAGAGGGAGGACGGGCUUCUCUCUGCCUCUGCUGUUGUUAAGAGGAGCUCUCACAUUUAUUAUUAUUUUCACUUUUAUUAUACCAACAUUAUACAAACAAUUAAAUUUCUCUGCUUAAAACAAAAGAGUCGAGUUAUUAAAACUUCUCCUGAAAUAAAGAAGAAGAAAAAAGCGGGUAAAGUUUUGCAGCGGUUGUAAACUGCAGUCUUUUACAAGCAGCUGAACAUGUUAUAUUUUAGAGCGCCAUUAUUCUUUAUAAUGUCACACCUAAAGCCAUAAGGCUACAGGACAGCUGCUUAAUGGCACUACAAGAGAUAAAGACGGUGAAAACGCUGAGCUCAGCCGUGGGAUGAAGGUUAGAAACCACAACAACAAACUGUACUUCUCUGAACGCACAGCAACAGUACGCACACAUCACAGUUAUAGGUGGCUAGGGUUGGGUAUCGUUUGAUUUUGAACGAUUCCGGAUCUGAUUCCGAUUCUUCAUUUCAAUUCCGAUUCCUAAAUAUUCUCUAUUAAAAGAAUAAUGCAUGGUUUAAAUGAGGGCGCUAACCAGAGUUCUUCUUUUUGGAUGAAAUUUCUGAACUUUUCCAUGAAAUUUUAAAUUAAAUUAACUUUUUAAGAACUUAACUUUGAAUUUUUGCUGUCAGAUCAUUUUUCUAUGAAAAAGUACACGGGCUAAAGUUAGUUGGAUAUUUAAGUUGACCCACCGUACACAGUAUAAUUUGUGCCCAACCCUAUAGGUGACUUUUAAGUCGCUUUACUCUCAGUAUCGUGUUCAAGUAUCAGGAUGAAUUUAACGUCACAGGAGCUUUAAGUGAUGAAUCAGGCUUUUAUCAGGUUUCAGUUUUGCAGAAAAAAAAUAUUUUAAAAAAUCUGAAAUGUUUAAGGAUUGAAGCAAAACUGUGAUAAAUUUAUCCCAAACUGCAUCAUCAUUUUUAUUAUUAUUAUUAUAUUGUAAGAUUGUGCACCAGAUAAACAGUACAGAUACACAACAAUCAGACGUGGAUAAAAACUGGAAAAUUCACACGUCACUUGCCGCUGUCUGUGGGCGUCUGCAGAAAAACAACCCACUCAGGUUUUGAUUGCACAUUGUCCGACAGCUGUGUCGUCUCUUACAUUUUUUGUCUCUCUCUCUUUAUGUCUCUUCAGUGUUCGGUAUCGGUCCAGUGUUCUUCUCUCUCUCUCGCUCAUUUCCCAGCCUCAUUCUGUCACUAGCCCCGCCCGCCUGAUCAAGCCCCGUGUAUACAUCAAACCUGCACCAUAAAGAAGCUGUGCAGCCAGCAUGGAGGCGCUAUUGGCAGAGCUAUAAUGGAGACAACGAUUUAUGGUCUGAAACAGGCAUGUGUCUGCAUUUCUGUGCGGGUGUGCAUGUGUGUAGGUGUACAUUUAGGGGAAUCUAAUGGACUCUUUCUAAUUUACGUUUGAGAUGAGAGAGAAGGAGAAAGAAAGAAAAACAGAGACUGAACUUAACGCAGGAAAAGAAAAAGAAGAAAGUGUUGGAGAGAUUAUAUCUUUGGACAGUUAAAAUGAGGCUUUCUGAAUAAGGAAAUAUGUUUUUUAAAAGAAAACAAAGGGUUGUAGAAUAUAGAAAUCUUAAAAAACAAAAAAAAGGCGCAAUUUGAAGAAAAGUUUGUGGAUUUUUGCACAAGCCGGGCUCAUUUAUGCUUCUUCCAGGACAAAUUCAGGACGUUUUACUAUGUAAUUUGGUUUAGACAGUCUGGAAUAUUUGGACAAUUUUAAUAGAUAAAUCCGAAAUGUGUUUUUUUUUUUUUCAAACCUGUAAAAAUCCUUUUCUGACUUUGACCUUAAUCUCUCAGUGACCUAGAUUAUGACAAACAGAGUUUCGACACAAGGAUGGAAAAUAGGAAAAAAUACAGAAAUAAAUGUGAUCAGUUUCCAGGUCUUAAAAUGUGUGGACAAUGAAAAAUUAAGUAUGGAAAAAUAUUUAUGUUUCUAAACUUUUACCACAGUUCUAAAACACUGUUUUCUAAAAUAGAAAAGUGGGUAUUUCCAAAAAUAAGGAACCGUGGACUAAUAUGUGAAGAGAACACACUGCUUAACUUCAUUUCUGGCAAGAUAAAAAAAUAAAAGGUGUCAUGAGUUCCCAAUUUUGGAGGUUUUAGGUUUGGUCCAUCAUGUCCUUAUCCAGUCUACCUUGAGCUUGUCUUCCUUAAGUGUGCAAAAUUAUGCAUUUCAAAAAGGACGGAUGGAAAAAAACAAGCUUCUACACAAAAUUAUUACGGUGUUCCUCAGGGCUACACUCUUGGUCCUCUUCUGUUUUCAGUGAAACAGUUCAAGUACUAACUCAGACAGUGUGAAAAGGUCCCAACUUCCUUUUAAGUACUUUAUCUGUUGUUUUCAUGUAAAAAAAAAAAACUUCUAAGCUUGCCAUAAAAAGUGCUGAAAUGUUGUCCUUUCCUAUCCUGGAUGUUCAAAAGUUCAUCUAUAAAGUCAAGAGUCAUUGCACAGAAUAAGAGCCAUUAGAAUGACAGAAAGAACAAGAAAACCAGCCCAAUAAGUACCGUACCGAAACUGUCUGUCCAACCAAAGCAGUAUACACAUACUGAACCAUAUCAACUCUCUCAACAGGAACAAGGUAAUCAUUUUUCUUACCCUGCAAAGUCAUCCCCAAACACUCGGUUCUUCCUUUCCCAACAAACACCCAAACUUUGCUAACCCUAACCCUCCAAAGAGAGAAAUGUUGGAAACCGCUUACUUUGACAUGACGAAGAUCAAGAGCCAGGACUAAUAUGAUGGCUGGGAUGAGACCAGGGGAAAUGACGGAGCGAGCAGCGCUGGAGUUGGACUUUCAUGCUGUCGAAACACCAAGUCCAGGUGAUCUGAAUCAAGCAAAAGACAGAAACAAAGAAGGGUUAGUCAGGUCUGCAUGGACAGAGUUUGACAGAAACUGUUACACAAGUAUUUUCAUGGAGUAACUUUGACUCACAGCACAAGGAGAAACACUUUGGUAGUUGUAUAUCUACGUGUGGAACUUUUAAAUUGAGUGAACAGGUGCAGACCAGAGGAGUUAUAAAGGCGAGAGAGAUAGAUGGACAUCUGUGAGAGAAGAUAAAGGAAAAUAGGAGGCAGAGGCUCCCAGACUCUCCGGUCAGUCAAUCUUCCUCUCGUUCCACGGUUCAUCUUAAACGUCUGUGUCUCAUAUGUUCCGGUAGAUUUUGUUUAUUGUAUGUUCUGUGUGGCGGACUUUGCUGCAAACCUAAUUUCAAGGACAAUAAAGUCUGAAAGUAGAUUUAGUGCCAGAGACAGCGGGAGAGGAGAGGUGCUAAAGGUGAAUCGUUGAAUAAUGGAAUACUUUGGGAGGCGAGAGAGGAACGGAGUGAUGGACGGAGGCAGAUAGAGGUAAGUGAAAGAGCAAGUGAGGUCAGUCUGGUUUCAUGAAAUGUUGACAAAUGAGCUCAAAAUGUUUAAAUGCAAAGAGCUUUGCGUAGGAAAAUAGAGGAAUAUAUUCCCCUGUUGGGGAGGAUUAGAAAGGGAGUAGAUCAACUUUCAAACACGGUGAUAUCGCCUCAGCGUGUGAGCAUCCCAGGAGGAGUUUUGGAAACUUUUUGACUAACAUCCAAAACCCUUAAAAGUACUUUUUACUCUCACUUUUGUGGUGUUGGCGUUCCUGUUCAGAUGGCACCGCUCCUGUCGUUCAACAGCAAAGCCAAAAUAUCCCUCGCUGUGGGUGUUAUUUGGGCAUUUUCUCCAUAAUGAUUUUAUAAAUAAAGAUUUAUAAAUAAAGAAAUGAUUUUUGAGGAGGAGGAUAUGAUAGGGUGACCAUACGUCCUCUUUUACCCGAACAUGUCCUCUGUUUGGGGGCUGUCCGGCCUGUCCAGGGGAAGUUUAUAAAAUCCUUCAAAUAUCCGGGUUUUGUAUGGAAGUUUGUGUCCAGUUUGUGUACCGUGGACUACCUGGAGUUAGAAGUGUGUAAAAAACACUUCACCCGACCCGAAAAUCCUCCAAAUUUUGGGGAUUCAGAAUAUGAUCACCUUUGGAUAUGACAAACAUGUACAGGAAUAAUCAGUGCUGAAAAGUGGUCUGAAAAUGUUCUGUCUGAGCUCAAACUAAGGAAACAAAAUGCGUAAAUAAAACAGAAUUUUAACCCUGAAUCCAUGUCAAAUAUGAUGACCUGAGAAACUUACUCACCAAAUCGCUCACCAAAAGUCAGGGAAUAAAAGACGCAGCAGGAUGAGCAAAAAACUGGAUUAAAUUUGAUGUUUCAAGCUGCUAAUUUUGUCUCAAAGCCUGGAAAAGAGGAUGAGAUAGCUUCUAUUUGGUGACGUGUAAGCCCAUGUGUUGUCGGCAUAUACAUAUUUAUAUAUAUGACAAAAUACUUAAACUUUAAACUACAAUAAAGACCCCAAACUAAACUUUAAAAUGGUCCAGUUUUACUCAAAGCAACCAUACACAUAAACAGGUGUUCAUAUUUCCUCUAAAAUGCAUGACACUUCGUAGCUCUAGGAGAUGUUAUUGAAAACUUUCUGCAUGUACUUUAUUCUUAACCUGGUCCCAGUCAAGACAAGAGACCGCACACUAAAACACAACAGAGUAUCAUGCGCUCAUAUUUGAAUAAAGAGAAUGAAUAAUAGGCGUGCACAUACUCUACACAGGAACACAAACACAUAAUACCAUCACAGAGAUGCACACACACACAAUACACCAGGACAAACAUUUGCACUCACACAGGUUCACUGAAUGCAAAUGUAAGAGUGCAAUCUCUCUCUCACACACACACACACACAGAUGCACGCCACCAUUAUACAGUGUAUCCAUACCAAGCCAUGCAUACACACACAAGCACUAACUCUUCAUAUACGCAUAUGAAAACACACCUGCACUCAAGUAAUAUGAAUACAUUAGUCAUCUCCAUAAAUGCAUAUAUUGUCUGCAAACACACAAACUCUACAGACACACACACACACUCAGUCAGGGGCAGAGAGCUGUGACACACAGACGCUGAUGCAGCUUAAUGACCAGAAUAAUUUAGAAUAAAGCUUCAUACUUACUCCCCCAUCAAACACGCACACACACACACAAAUACGCCGCUCACGCUCCGCCACCCACAGCGCUUAGCAUCCAGCUCAUUCAGCUCACAUGAAUUUUUAAAGGACCUCCUUUAUUACUCUUUGGUUUUAUUUGCGAACAAUAACAGCGUGGUGAGUAAUACCCUCAUGCGUAGGAGCAGAUAUUCCAGCGAGGGGGUUUAUGAGCGUGCACGCCGCAGCCCCACACUCUCAGAUAUUUGCUGAAUGGCAAUUACAGUUCAGCACGGUUGGUGAUCUGCGUGUUUAAGUGCAGCCAUGAUGCAGGGAUCUGACCGAGAGGAGGGUGUCCUGCUGUCAAAUGUUAUGUUAGUCCUGCAGAUGCCUUCACCUCAUUUCUAUUCACAGGUAUGAGGUAGAUGGGUGGGAGAAUAUGGAGAGAGAAGAUGGGAAACCCAUUCAAUACUUACUGUCAGCAUUGAGAUACUGUACUGCCUGAAUGAGAGGGGUUUUCAGCAGGGUCUGACAUUUUCUCCGGUGGAGAUGUGCAUCAAAAUUCACCCUCUGGGCUCCUUUAAGGAUUCAGUUCAUUUACACCUGGAGAGAGCCCUCAGUAAAUCUGUCCUGAGUAUGGGGGAGGGGAGGAAGUGUCUGUCAUUCGCCUCCAGUGUUCCCAGUGGUUCCCAGCUGGGAUUCAAGGCCGUUCACAUAUUUAUGACCCAGGCAAAAGCAAACUGAAACACCCAGCGGUCAGAGCCCAGAGGUGUCACACUGUACGUCAACGGCUUACCGGCGAAUGUUCAAUUACUUUGCUCGGCAUCCCCUGGAGUGCUGCAUGAUUGCUCCUUUAAGAGAAGCAAUUUGAUACUGUACAUUACACCAGGAGCCAAAGGCCGUAGCUCAAAGCCGAGAGGAACACUUGGUAAACAGGAUGCAGAGCGGUUAUGGAGGAGAAAGGGAGAAGUUAAUUUACUGCUUCCAGCCCGAUGCAGCACUCUUUACUGCUGCAUGACUGCGCCAGCAGGACGCAAAUGUUCUCCGUUUCCAAAGAGAUGGAAGUGACGGCGGCGUUUCUCACUGAACUCAGUGGAUCCCUCUUAAUUUACGACCUUCAAGAAUCAAACUCUGGGGACGAACAACAGCAUGUACGCACAGGUCAGUGAGAAAGUACAGCAACUGACAGAGUACUUUUUUAAACAAAGAGGCGGGAACUACUUUCCUGUAGUUCCUUAAGACUCCUCAGUCAGCGUCUGAGCUCAUGUGAAUAUUUUUGAGUAAGUAGGUUUUUCUUUUUCAGUUUUAGAUCUCUGAAAAUUGAGGUGCAUGUGGCAGUCGUUUACUCGUAUCAUGCACACCCCUAAGAGACAGGCUAUCAGUUUACGUCUGCUUGGUGCUUGUUUGCAAGAACAUCUAACUCCGUAUUACUCCAUCUUACCCUUUUUAUUGUGAUUAAUUGCAGUUCCUUCAGUGUACAGAUGGUCUUGUCUGACACCUAUGACCUCUUACUGCUACUACCAUUAAAAAAUUAAACGAACAAUUGCUAGUUUUUCGUCAGUGUUCUUGUUUGCUUUCAUUUGGGUAAAUUGGGUUAAUACUUCACAACUUGUAUGAGAGAUCAACAAUAAGGAGGCAAAAUUCACAUUUUUCUUAAUAAAUCAAAACAAUUACUCCUUUAUUUGUUAUGCAAAUGCAACAAUAUGUUUCACAGAAUAAGUAAACACAUUAAAAUCCCAUUUACGCUGUGAAAGAAGAAUAGUAUCAUCAACAAAAGAGGAAACUUUACGAUGCAAGGGUGCUUUUUUUUUUUAAAUCAAAAUGCUGAGAAAACAAAUAGAGCCAUAUUAUUUACCACUGAUGUUAAAAAAAACACUAAAAACUCUCAUCUUACCCUCAGCAUCACCAAAAGAACGACCAACCACAGUCCACCAAAACGUCCACUUAAUGUUGGUCCCCUGUUGUUGACUUGGCAACGAAACCAAAGUCCUCUGUUGUGUACGUUGGUGAGUAAACACACACAAAUUAAACUUUUACACCAGUUAAGAUCCAUUGAUUAUGAAAGAAUAAUCACCAGAGAUGAUCAUGGUUUGAAAUAGAUGAAAACACAACCGAUAAGAGUCCCCCAAACCCUUCUGCUCUGAUUGGUCCCCACUUGGUCACUUACGAAUAAAACCAAAGUCCUCUGUUGGCAGGGUAAAUGAGUAUUCAGACACACACGGGUGUGUUUUAUCAAAGUUAUAGAAAUUAAAAUCAAUUUGGUGGACAGACUCAUUAAAAUCCUAACAUUCGCCAAAACAGGUCCUAAUAUAAAGUCCUGCAGCGAUCUGGAGAACCAAAUGAUCAAAACGUCUUUGAAUUCAGUUUAAAAUCAGCUGUUGAAGGAUUAGAUAGUCUGGAAAAACUGCUCUACUGGAGAAGUCAUAACAAAUCUGAGACUGAAAGAGGAGGAAAGGGGUUUUAAGCCAGAGAGAAAGUUCAAGACCUUUGGAGAGAAAAUAGCGAUUAAUAAAGUUGAUUGAGUCUUCACACACCAGUGGGCAGCUGAAACCGGUCCUUUAGAGAGAGUCUUUGAUGCAGUGAGCGGACGGACAGCAGUGGAGGAAGAAGUCGAAGCAGAGGUGGUGGAGGGUGACAUCAUUUGUGGAAAGGCUGUCAGGGCGAUCACAUCACAAAUCCCUCUGACCUUUGAAACCGUGCCUUAAAGAUUGAGGCUCAGGCUGUUUCCUCUCCUCUCCGUGUGAUGGACGGCUGUCUAAUCUGCUCCUCAGAUGACUCAGUCAGCCUCAGGUACCUGCUUCAGACCAGGAUUUCUCAUCUUUUUGGUGAUUAAUGUUGGCUACCUUUGAUAUCUACACACUUAACUGUUGUAAUCUGUAUCAUUAAAGGGACAGUCCGUAUUUUAAGCAGUGUUUCAUGACAUACUUGUCAGGCAGUGUAAGGGAUACCGACCAGAGAAGCGGCACAUGACAACCCCACUUGAUCAACUCCACCAUGAAAUUUAGCUAAUUCUACGAAACUCAAACCCCAGAGUUUUAUUCUUGCACAAUUUCUGGAUCCAACAUUUAAGUGAUUUUUUUUGCCAAUCAGCUGUUUGGGUCUGCAGACUUCAAAAGAGACCAAAAUAAACCAACCUGACACAGGAACACUAGCAUGCUGUUUACAUAGACACAGCCGCGAAAAACUGCACAAACAAACAGGUGGUCUGAUGCAAAAUAAAACACUAAAAAUGUUCCACAUAGAGCAAAAACAAAACACCUGCUUCAACAAUAUUUAACUGGACUUUAACAAAAAUAGCUUAAUUACAGAUGCCACUACCUCACACAACCAAACUCAAGAUCUUGUCCUGCCUCGCACUCUCUUAGAUCAGACAUCCGACAGUGUAGGGAUGUAUCAAUUACCGGUAAAAUGAUAAACCGCGGUAAAAUGCCUGACAGUUAGUACUACCGUUUCAAAUUUCAAUUACCGUUAAAACCGUGUUUGAUUGCCACACUCUGGAAACGCUCAAAGAUUGCUCAGUGCUGAAAAGAGCAGCCGCACACAGCAGUCCUUCGGACACAGGUUGCCAACAGUGUUGCAGAGAUUUUUCCGCUGUCAAAGAAAACAAAGUCCGAAGUCUGGGCGUAUUUCGGCUUUUACAAAGGGUCGCAAGGGUUGCCAGGAAGCUUUUGCGCAUCCCAGCAACCAGCAUGUCAUCCAAGAGGCUAUUCAGUUCCAGCGCACACAUCAUUUCCCCUCGCAGAUCACGACUUAAACCAGACAAAGUAAAUCUGCAGCCAUUUUUACAUUUCAAUCUCAAGUAGUGAACAAAGUCAGCAGCAGCACCUUAUGGUGAAGAAAACGGACAAUCGCUUCAUUUGAUUAGUUUACAUAUUUGAUGUUAUUUUAAACUCCUGCACUUCACAUUUGUUUACAUGUGGUUGUUUUGUUUCAUAUAAUCGUGUCGCUCUGUUCUAUAUUUAUUAGAGUCCAUCUUUUUGAGCACUAAAGAUUCUUACAGUUUGCACAAUAAAGGAUGUCAGUUUAUAUAAAUUUUAUUUAUUUGUUAUUAUGUUAAUUUUUAUGCCACUGGCACAUUGUACUUUGUUUUUACAAAGUACAAAGUACCAGUGUUGAUGACCUCUGGCUCUUAAAAGGCCCCAUCUUUCAUUUUUUAAGCGUAUCUCUCCUCUGUCAUUUAAGGUUAAGGAAACGUUCAUUCUAUGUGUUAUUUUGAUUGUUUUUUCAAAAUAAAACCUUGUUAAAUGAUUUCAGGGCGAGUAUAAGUACUUUUUAUACAUUUUGAACAUAUUUCGGCAAUACCGUGAUAAUAUUGAUAAAUGUGCUUCUGUGGGGCAGUAUAAACAUUUUUGGCCUUGUUUUAUACGUUUCAUCGAUGAAACGGAAAGUUACAGCCGAUAAAAGAAGAGAAAACAUGAAGGUAACAGCUGCAGCUUUACCCUCACUGGCCAAUUUCCCACUCACUCUGAAAAAUGUAGAUUAGCUUUUCCAUACACUAGUUCAUAGGUGACCACUAACAGGUGUUUUUGGAAGGACUUUUGUUAAAUCCACGAUGAUUAUGCUUUUAUGGUAGUAAAUUAGUACUUUUGACAAAGAAAGAAAACCUCCUGAUGUCUUUAACAGCAUCUGUUUAUGUUAAAGGUGCUUUUCUGAAACAAAACCAUCAUCUAAAUCAGCCUCCUGCCUUUAUACUCUCAAGCAUCUCCGUCAAUAUUUGUUCGUUUCGGGUCUUACUCUCCUCUUACAUCAUGGUCCCUUGAGUGACAGGGAGGGUUUCAGCGAAGGUAAAUGUAACAGGGGAGGUCGUGGCUGAUCUCUGAAUUCAGAGCAAAGAUAAAACCUGCAGGAGAGUCUCUUACACUGGAGUGUGUAUCCAUCCUGAGCUGACGAGCACACCGAUUAUUUGAUGAGCACCCUUUCUUCUGCUUCUUCUAGUGAGGAUCUCCCAGGAUACUUUUCAAUAACCUCAGCGAUGAUUUCUCUUUAUCUUCAUCUUGAUUUUUCUUCACAGAGACUGACAGCGAUGACUGAAUAAAAGAGUCCGACAUAUGCGGGGAGUGUUCCCCUUUCCCACGGUGGUCCAGUCUGUGUUGUAGCUGCGUAGUAUUGCUGAUCUCUUCUUUUCUUUGAAUUUGAGAGACUUUGAGAGAUGUUUUCAGGCCACUGUGUCAUCUCCUCUGCCUCUUCUGUUUUGAACCAGUUUUUCCAACAUCCCAUACCAUCUUCCACCUGUCCCACUGAGAUAUUUCCUCCACCUUUUCAAGCCACCUGCUCCGGGUCCCGGUUGAACACCUGCUGCCGACAGACAUUCCUCUCAAGACCUGAUUCAUUGAGGUUUAUGCAGCUUUGCACAUGGAAAACCUGUGCAUAUUAAACAAAAAGCAUCUAAUUCACAAAGUAUAUGCAAAGAGUUAUAUGCACCGAAAGCUGCUAAGUAAAACAAAUAGUAUCCUGGGGCAUGGCUGCUAUUGUGCAUAUUUACAUAAGCCAUUAUGCAAAUGAACCUCAUUCCAAAAAUGACUAUUUCACAAACAUCAGUGCUAACAGCCAUGCUCGGUGAGAGUGACUGAGACUGAGUCUGCAGCAUUUGUGAGGGACAGAAAGCUCAAAAGUCCCUGUUAUCAUGACAACAGCACCACCCAUAGACUAUAUUAUGGACAACUUGGCUCCGCCUUCAGUCAUUAUUGCUCUCAGUAUUUCCAGAAUUUUCUCCACUUCCUGGAGCCACCACUUGCGCAGUACCAUUGUACGCAUUCGGCGGGUGAGUCGCUGUGAUUACGCUCGGCUCAAACAGCGUAUCCCCUCGGGUGAGCUACGCAACCUUCGUACGCCAAUAGGCUGUAUCAGGUGUCAAUCAUAGAAAACUUGAACCCCCUAAGAACUUUUAAAAAUGGAGCUGUACGGAAAAAAAGAGGACUUGAUCACAAACCAGUCUGACAGUAACUACAUGUCAACAUCACAAGCAGGGGGGAGAAACAUUUAUAUUCUGUGUCAUUAAUGUAUAAAGUUUGUCCACAGCUCCAUAGGGAUUACCGGAGGAGGCGGGAUUUAUGAUCUAUACUGCAGCCCGUCACCAGAGGGUGCUGUUCUUGCGUUGGUUCCUCCUCUGGGUGGUUUAUUUGUGAAUAUAGUCUGUUCACUUUGGUUAGAUGUCACUUUUACUUAAAUAAUUAGAAAUUAGAGGGGCUUUCAUGCAGAGUUGAUUCUGGUGACCUCAAAAAAGGGUACUGUUGUUUUUUUCCAUGAAGAAGACUUCACCUAAAAAUCUAUUAUAUCAUAAUGUAGUCGAUGUCAUUAGCACAAAUUAAAGGAUACUGCAUUAUUAUUAUGACUCUGAGUGGGUUAUUAUUGAGUUGUUGUGUUCAAAGUGGAAUCAAAGAUGAGAAAUGUCUUUACAUGAGAUCAAAUCAGAUGUGCCUACCUACAAAUGUUGUUCUUUUUGGCUGUAAAUUUACUGUAAAUUACAGACGACUAGUUCCACCACUUUCUCAGUGAUUUCCUGGUGAUUUACUGUAAGUAUUUCAGAGUAAUUUACUGUUCCUGUAUUGAUUUCACAUUAAAAUUCAAAAUUACAGUAUUAUACUGUUAACAUUACGGUUAAAUCCUGUAAAGUGAUGAUACAUUCAUUAAAAGUAAAAUAUUACAGUGAAAUAUUGUAAAAUUCUGCUGAUAAUUUCCAGCCUUGGUUUUAUCUGCCUGUUAGUUUCAGGGCUAUUGAUGAUUUAACAAGGUCCUAAAUGGUUGGUCCUAUUUUGCAGAGGAAAAAAAGUCUCCCUAUCUUUCUUGCCGCUCCAUUUCAAGAGGCAAAGCAGCCCUCGAAAAUGAGCGGUAGAGGGGUAAAAAUGAGAGAUGGGACUGAGCCCGAGUCUGCAAUUUAGGUCAGUGUGGUAUUAUCCUGAAAUAUAGCAGAGCAGGUGAAAUACUGUGUUAAUAUAGAAGCACCUCAAAGACAAAGUGCAGGUCUGCACUGGAGUGGAUAUACUUUCUUACUUUCCUCCUCAGCCUCGGCUGAAAUGAUUGCCGAGUUAAACCGGCUUUCAGAUUGACCAUUUUAUACCCAACAAAACUGCAAAACAGCUCAGACGCUCCACCACAGAGUUAUUAUGUGCUAAAAGUUCAAACCCAGGAUGAUAAUAAGAGGCGGGGAUAUCAUUAUUACUAACACCCACAGCCAUAUUAACACACACACGUCCUCAGAGAGUGUCCCUCAUGCAAAGAACAGUUCUAAGUGCAUGAUAGACCGACUUUCAUAUCACUAAUUAGUCCCUGUUUGUUGUGCAGUUUGGUCCUGAUAGUGUUUAAACCACAGAGGCCUUUAUUUACCUUCUCUCCUCCACUACUUACCUGCAUCCAAGGGCAUUUUCUAACAUCCUACUAUCAACAAAGAUCCCAGCUUGUGUAAGAACAGAGAAAACAAACCUUCAGCAAGGAUUUUAAUGUUUGUCAAAGCAGCAGCAACGACGCUCGCAGCAGAGGUGGUAAUAACGGUGGAUUACAAAUUCUUAUCGUGUCUUUGCCAUCUGCUCCAGAUAAACAGAGCGGAGGUCUGCCUGCGCCGCCUCAGCCUUUCAUUUCUCAAAUCUGUCGCCACCAGCUGGCACCUCGGCCGCGGUAAGGUGUUCAAUAAGAGCAGGCCACCAACCUGGCGUUUUCAAGGUCAAACAGCAACACAAAUUAACAAGAACACCGAGCUAAUACCGUUUUUUUCCUGUCUGAGGAAGAGUCAGGAAAAAACUUCACAACAGAGACACAAACACGAAUCUGAGCAACAAUAUCUGCUGCAAUGUUUAACUCAAAACAAACACUACGCAGCCGGGGGUUGAAGGGUGUCCAGUUCAGCAGGCAGAGGAUCGCAUCGCUGCUUUUUGCGGAUGAUGUGGUACUUCUAGCUUCGUCGAGCAGUGACCUUCAGCUCUUGCUGGGCCAGUUCGCGGCCGAGUGUGAAGCCGCUGGGAUGCGAAUCAGCACCUCUAAGUCCACUCUUGAUUUACUGGUCGAUCUACAUGCCAAUCCUCACCUAUGGCCGUGAACUUUGGGUAAUGACCAAAAGAACAAGAUCGCGGAUACAAGCGGCCAAAAUGGGUUUCCUUCGCAGGGUGUCCGGGCUCGAUAAAACUGGAUGGAGGCUAAUUUUUUUCUGCCCUCGAUCAAUCCUUUCAGCGACUGUAACCCAAAUACUCACAAAUAAAAUUAAAAAAUACAGACAAAAAGUAUAUUAUUGUGAAAGUUCUUACCAUUUUAGUCACAGAGAAAGUGAGCUAGAUCCCGUACACUGAUGAAACCAACAGAGUGGUUAAAAAUACAGAGAUUUUUAAUUGCAGUGCAGUAUCUUACCCAGAAGAUGGCACUCUGAGACACAAGUGGCCACUUCAGUGCAUAGUGAGACGGGCUAGUCAAGCAAAAACACUUUUUAUUUCGUUUUUGAAAUGGUUGGACACUUUUAUAGAGCUGGUUUGAUUUGGAAAAACACGCCUCAAUUCAAGACAAGCGUCCAGCAGAGGUGGGCGGGACAAGUGUCCAUCUGUACCUCACAACCAGUAAUGCUACUUCGAGCUAGGUCUCAAUACUGCAUGAGUAGCUGGGGUGGUGGCAAGAGCAGUUUGUAAUAUAUGGAGAAACGCGUCUGCAUCAAAACUGCACAUUGCUGAACACAAUGAGAGUAUUAAUGCACAAACAGAGUUUAAAAAGGCUUUUAGGUUUAAAGUUCCUGUGAGUCAUUUUUGGGCUGGUUAUAAAACACACUGAAGUCAAUAUUUAUGUUUCAUAAUGAUCUAAAAAAGGAGGAGAGACGGUUUUCUAGUCUCCGCUUAGUAAUUUUAACCAUCUAAAACCACUGGAGGGGAGUGUUAAAGUAGAUAAGAUGAUUUUCUCAAAAACACCAACUUUAAAUCAGCAAAGACGACUUCGUUCAGAACAGACACGGACCAAAAGUUUUAAACUGCUCUAUAAAUUCACCCACAUAUAUGAGAUGCUGUUCUAAAGUCUUGGGAAAAGCAGUUUCAAGCAUCAUCCUGAUCAAGUUUCUGCAGUCAGUGGACUUUGUAUUUAGCUUCUUUGCAGCAGCACCUUUUUUUCCCACUGAGCAACAACCUCUUCACCCACAGUCACACCAUCUUCUCCUUAAGGCAGCGGUUGUUUUUGGACUGAAGUCUUUUCAGUUGAACCAACACUCAUCUUUAUUUACUAAAUAGUGACCCACGGUUGUCUUGAAACCCCAGGCGUGUGGUGGACAGUGCUGAUGUGUGUAAAAUGCAUUUCUUCUGCUUCGGUACCAUGUAACCACACUUUUGACCCCCUCAGCCAUUAUUGCAAUUUCUUUGUUGUUUACUUUUAUAACUAUUUGCUGUUCACACGCUUAAUCAGACAGUCUAUUAAUGUAUUAAUAACUAUAACUUCACUUCAUGGACCCUUGAGACCUGACUGCAGACUGGAUAAGCUCAAAUGUUACUGAUUUUCAGACUUUAAAAAAUGCUCUAACAGGUAUUUAAUGGACAUGGUUAUCGAUUUCAACCUCUACUCUGUGGGCAAACAUGUACAGUAUCACUUUGUUGAUCUUGUCCAGUUGUAUUUUUUGGCAAAUUUCUGAGGUUUCUAAGAUUUCUAAGGUUUGAAUCAGACUUUGUGGUUUUUGUCACAAAACUGUGAAAAGUUUCAGAACUGAAGAGUGGAGAGUUUUGUUCGGUACUUAGUAUUCAAUGAGGAUUAGAGGAAGCUAAUGCCGACCUUUAAAAGUCAGAUCCACUCCAGUUAUGAGUCACUCUGCUCUUUUUCUUUAUGUGGUCCCCGACCUUGACGUAUCAUUCAGCCUAAUAAAGCUGGAGUUGUGACGGAGGCCGGCGGAGGUCUGACACAUUUGUGGAAAUAAAACAGGAGAACGAAACGCUGUUCACAUUUUUAUUUGAUCCAAGUUUGACCAUCAGUGGAGCCGUGGACUUAAAACUUGAUAAUGUUAACUUAAUCAUGUGCAGCAAUGCAAGGGAAACUCUUAUUUUAUAAUGUCAAAAAUAUAUCAGACAAAUCUCUUACUUUAAGAUGCAAAAUUUAGUCUGAAUGAGUCUGAUGGUUUGUUCAUGACCACAGAUGAUGUUGCUUUAAGUAUGAGGCGGGUGCAUGCUGGGUUUCUUCACACUGCUAUUGCCAAAUGGAUCAACAGGACACUACAUGGUUCCGGAUACAACAUUUAACAUUUAAACUCCCAACAAUGUCCAAGUCUGGAGAUGUCUGACUGUUUCCUUUAAGAACCGAUGAUCAUGUCCUCCUCGCUGAGUUAACGCUGCAGCACAAAGAGCUGAUUUUCUCAUGAUAAAGCUACAAGCUCCUUCAAGUUAUUCAGUUUUUCAUCCCAGACAUUCAUCAUGUGACGAUCAGUAUUGAUCUUUGAGAUCAUUUAUGAGCGACUCGGAGAUGAAAAGCUGCUCCUUCGAGUCAUGCAAGUCCUUGUUCAAACUCACAGCUGAUGAAGUAACUUUACUAAAGGCUGACAGCCAUCUCUUAAUCCAAAUAUGCAUACAAGUAAAUUUCAUGUUGUGGAUUUAAGGGGGAAGAAGCAGAAAUCUUAGUAAGCCAAUACAAAGGUAAGUUCUCUGUUUUUCUGUUUUUUCUGUUUUUCUCUUACCGAUAAAUCAGUCUCUUUAAGGCGUCCCUGAUCGUCUUUGGGAAUAUUUCCUCUUCUCUCUCUCCACUCCGACCGUCUCGCCUGCAGGUGCAUUUCUUAAUCAGACUCCCAGAUGUGACGGUGUGCUGCAGAAGGAUUUACUGUUUAGCUGCCAGCUCCUGUUAGGACGGGGAAGUACACACGAAACGACAAGACAGGGGGAGGAGGAGGUUAGCCAAUGACCGCACUUAAACUGCGUACAGGUGGUUUUUUCCUGUUGUCACGGCGAUUGCUACAAUCAUUUCUGACUCUAACCACUAAAAUAAAUAUGUCAAUCAAGAACUGAUAUCUUCAGAUCCUAAUUUUACUCCUAAACUUUAGUUAAAACUAUGUGCAGUACAGGUUCAUCUGUGACAUUAGAGUGUCAUAGUUAUAAUGAUGCUAAAUGAAGAAAUGAACUGAUGUCAAUAUUCAAAUUCAGGAGACUCAGAUAAAGUUACUCAAAAUUAUUGUAUUGGAAAAUUAAAAACACACAAAUUAGAUAAUCACAACAACCAACAAUGAUGACUCCUUGUCAUUGUUGGUUGUUGUGAUGAUUUAAUUUGUGUGUCUAGGAUUUUUUUCCUUUAAAACUCUGUGUUUAUGUCCAGUCCACAAACAAAAGAAAAAAGUACCAAGAGUCCUUGGAGUCCCUUUUUUGUUCUCUAAAAGUCAAUUUAUAUCAAUCAAUCAAUCAAUCUUCAUUUAUGUAGCACUUUUCAUACAAAACGUUGUAGAACAAAGUGAUUUACACAGCAGAGGAAUAAAAGAAACAAAGAAUACUCUGAUCCACGCCAACUCAACCCUCCAUUCCCACCACAACAGAAACGUUUAUUAAAUGCAUGAACUUAAAAAGGGCUCGAUUUCACAGAAACAGAUAAGUGGACAGAGCGCACUGAGGAGACGCCAUUUUAAAACUCAAGAUAAGGAAACACUGAAGGUUUAAAAUCUAAAAACAAAGUAACAUGGAAUGAAAUUUAAGAAAUAAUAAAUAAAAUGACAUAAAAACAACAGCAAAAGAUAUCAAAAUAAGAGCACCAAGAUAGCUCAAUAAAAGAUGAUCCUGUCAUUAAAACUAGAAGAGAUAAAUGUUAAAACACUUCAAGUUAAUGAUAUAAAAUUAGUGAAAAGCAAAACUGAAAAGGUACAUUUUCAGUUUGGUUUUAAAAUCAUUAAGAUUUAUCAUAUAAAUCAUCAAAUAUCAUAUAUCUAUAAAGGGAAAAGUUCAGUUGGUCCUACCAGCCAUGAGUGAGGGGUAGAUGAUGAUGAUGAUGAGGAGGAGGAGGAGGAGGAAGAGAAAUGUUGAUUAUUUAAGGAGAAUUCUGGAUUAAUUCACCAUCGAGAAUCAAAUUCCGGGUAAAUCUGUCCUGUGUGACAAAACCAGAACAACUUUUAAACUUAACAAGAACUUAAAUAUAUGAACAUCGGCGCCAUUUUGACAAGAACACUUUAAAUACUUUUAGAACAAACAUCAUGACAUUAAUCUGUCAUUAUAAUCUACAGCUGGAUAAUCUCACUCACCAAAUCACUGUCUGUAUAAUCUGAAAUAAACCGUGGUCGAGUCUGAGCGGUCCCUCUAGUUGUUUAAGCAGGAGUUUAAUUCAUUACAAACGUUUAUCUGAUGUCUCUGCAGUUAUUUUUAACUAACUUUAAGAAACUCUGUUCGGUCAUAUUCUCCAUUCAGCGUCUCCCUCCCGCCCGUGUUUCACUUCCUCUUUCAAAAUGCUGCAUGUGUGCUACCAUUGGCUGGUAGCGCUCACGCGAGAUUUAAAAACGUGAUUUGACAAAACUCCGCUGAUAUCAUGGAGGAGGAUUUAAAGAGUCACAAACUGAUUACAUUUUAAAACAAAAUUACAAAAAAACUAUUUCAACACAACAUUAUCGAUUGGAUUGAUUUUUUUCAUACUUUUUUACCUCUUAAUUCUUUUUUUUCUUCAUAAAAAUAUUAAUUAUUUAAAAAUUAAUCUGGUCAUUUUGAGAUCUGAGUUACAUUUGUGUUGACUUUUAAAGCUCCUGUGAGGGACUCUUAGUAUGCGUAGAGUUUGGUACCCAUUCAGGCUGCAGCCAGGCCCCUUAUAACCACCCGAGACAUGACCUUUAGGAGAGAUCACAUGCUGUUUUUUAAUUAUUAUUAUUAUAAUUAUAUAAUUAUAAUUAUUAUCCACACCAGAAUAACUUACAAAGAGCAGAACAAAAAGAUCUGGUGAUGCUGCUACGCUCCAAAACUGCUAAACAAACUUCCAGAGGGUCUGCAAAUAUAGAAAUCUUUAAACGUAACCUAAAAAACUCAUAUAUUUAGCCUGGCUUUUAUGUAAAGCUCUAUUAUUUUAAUUACUAUUAUAAUUUAUUUAUCUUUUAGUAUCACUUUUUACCUUAUUUUAUUAAUAUUCAAGUUUAUAUUUUGUCGGUUUAGUUUAUUUUAAUCACUUUAAUUUUUGUUGUCCUGAUGUAAAGCUCUUUGAGCUGCAGUUUCAUUUGUAUGAACAGUGCUGUAUAAAUAAACUUUUAAUGAUUGAUUGAUUGAUAUUAACUGAGGCAUUUUCAUAUUAAUAUUAUAGAAAACAACUAACCAGUGAGUUCACAAUAAUCAUGUACCAAACACAAGCUCCAGGUGAUAGUAACAUUUUUUUAUUGUGACUCUCUGCUGCUCAGAGCUGCUCUCUGCGCUCUCUUCCUGACAUCCCCACAUGCAUCACACGAUGUUCUGGAUGAUGAAAUAAAGUCUUUAUAAUUUUAACAUGAAGCUGAUUCAUGACAGAUGUGGCAGACUUAACAGUUCAUGACCAGCUAACCUCCUGGAGUGAGAAUAAAGCUCAAUUCCUCAUCACAGCUGGUAAAAAUGUCUCUUACCUUCAACAAUAAAAGUAAAUAAAGGCCCCGGCUUGUGUUUGUGGAUUUAAGGUGAGUAGUCCUCUUUUUUCCCCGCUGGCAUGGCGUAGAAACAUCAUCAUGUAAAAAUAAUACAAUCAGGAACUACAUGGAGAAAUAUACUGAAUAUUUUAACAAGGACAUGGAUGUAUACUCAUGCACACACUCUCUCACUCCUCGCCCUGGCUCAAAGCAAGAGCGAGUAUAUUCCCCCCUCUGAGGCCUGACAGGACAUUAACACCUGAACACCUCUGGCAGAUGGAGAGGAGGACAUUGUGGUGAUGAGACAGAGGGGACAAGGCAGCCUAUUUUAGGUUAUUUUCUGGUCUACAACUCUUUAACUGUAACCCAGAAAGACAUAAAGACACAUCAGUGUGACCGGGAUGACAUUUAGGUUAGGUUAAAGUUUCACGAGUGGCGAAAUUAAACCGUCAAAGCAGCAAAUAAAACACAUUCGCAGGAUGAAGCUCAUUAUAAAUGAGUAUGUUACGGGGAGAGCAUUUAGCUUUCAGUCCCAAACAAUAAAAAAGAGAAAUGAGAGAAAAAGAGAGGAGCUGCUGCUGCGUCUGUCCCUCCGUCCUCCUCUGAAUCACUUUUACUGUCCAGAUGACAGAAUGAAAUUAGUGACGUGUGUGCUUUUGAGUUUGUCCGCGGGCUAAAUCAAAUUACCGUGCUCUCAUGGAGAGGGCUGUUUGUUAUAGAAAACUCCUGCAGUCCUGACGUUGAAAUUACAAAGCUGAUUGCCUGAGCUCCUCCAUCAAUACUAAUGCCAUCUGGAGAGAACUGAAGGACAGUAUUAAAGCUGGAACAGAAUAAAUUAGACUACAACUUGUUGCUGGAGGCAGAGAAAGAGAGCCACAAUAUCAAAAAGUAGAUCUAAAUGACUUCAGAAGACAUAAUGUCACCGUGUGAUGAGAGGGGAAAAACACUGCUGUCAACGGAGCCUUCAUUUCUCACAGCUGGAGGGUUUCACUCUGAAAUUAGAGGGACAGCACAUGAGAAACACUUUUGAACCUGAAAGACUCCCGUAUUUAAAGAGACGUGCAGCUUUCUGGAGUAAAAAUAUAUAUAUAUUUUAAAUGCUUCCCGAUUUAAUCACCUCUCUGACAUCAUUUUUUGGAAACUAGACAGGUCAUUUUUGAGUCCUGGAGAGUGCUUGAAUAUCUUUCAAUACUUUCAAAAGGUGAAAGUCAAAAGCAUUGGUGCUACUGUAGAUGCCAACAGACGACCAGCAAACACAAUGUUUGCAGGACUUCUACAACUAGGAUAAAGUGACAUAGUCCAGGACCCGAGGGAGGACAGUUUAGCGAUGGCGCUACAACACGCUACAGCAGGUCCGUUUGACAAGAAACACUUCUGUUACAGACACUUGUCUUACUUUGUUAAAGCGGUUUACCUGUCCAGCAGAAAGGUUACAGGGUCACCAAGAUCCCCAAGCGUCCCCCAUCGUUUAUGUUGACCCGGCUUUUUAGCUCUUGUCCGGUCUACCUCCGUUUUAAGCGCCUGUUAUUCCUCCAGAGUCUCCGGUAUUUACUUUGUUUUCUCGCUUGUGUCGGCAGUCGUGGCCAAAGGAGGAUUCAGACAAUUUUCCGAACUUUCUGGUUGGUUUCUACUGUCCGAUAUUGUAGCACGCUAACUUUGUUUGGGCUCCUGAACGACACGGGGGAGCAGCGUCUGCCUCACAACCAAUCAG